rnacentral:lncRNA from 1 species
CUCGUCCUCGUCUGGCUCGCAGGUUGCCACAUCGGGUCAGCUGGAGGAGAUCAACACCAAAGAGGUGGCCCAGCGCAUCACCGCCGAGCUGAAGCGCUACAGCAUCCCACAAGCGAUCUUCGCGCAGAGGGUGCUGUGCCGGUCUCAGGGGACUCUCUCCGACCUGCUCCGGAACCCAAAACCGUGGAGUAAACUCAAAUCUGGCAGGGAGACCUUUCGCAGGAUGUGGAAGUGGCUGCAGGAGCCCGAGUUCCAGCGUAUGUCUGCCUUACGCCUGGCAGGUAAGCACAGAGAGAGGGUCUCCUGGAGCCAGGCUGCUGUGGAGAGGGCUCCGGGGUUCUUGUGGCCCCAAGUCAGCGCGCCUAGUCUCGGUUCUUUCCUCCUCUUCACUAUGCACUUCCUAUUUUCUCUCGAAUUUCUUUCUUCUACUGUCAUUUCCUCUUUCUCCUCCCUUCUUCCAUUUCUGUUCUUUUUCUUGUGCAUUUUCUUAACUUCUCUCUCCCCCUCCUGUCUUCCAGCUUUCAUUAACCGACCCCCCCCCACCACGUGUCAUUCACCCUCCCCUGAAUGUGCCAAUUUUACCCUCCAUUUCUGACCUUCUCUAGUUGUGGGACAAGGGACGGGGGGUGUGCAGUGUUCACUAGGAGCCUUCAAGACUCACAGAGACUGAGGAUUGGCCUUUUUCAAAGCCCUGUGCACUUGAACUCUUGUUGAGACAAUACAUUUCAGUUUUCCAGGCUGCCCGGUCUCCCUAUUUGGAGGCAGUUGAGGGGUUUUGCUCUUCAGAAUGGAAAAAAAGUCUGCGUUCUCGUCCUACCCGUCAUAGCAGGAAAACUUCUUUAGUUAUUAGCAGGAGUCACAAUCUUGACCGCUGGGGAACGGGUGGCUAGGUUACAACAGCGCUUCCCAAGCGCAGCUCGGGCCUUGGGGUUGGCGUGGGGAGUUUGUGACCGAAAGAGCCGGCUUCGGCCAGUUCCCACGUCUCUGCCUACAGAAAGGGGAGGGUGGAAGGACGAAGGGUGGGACUAACACAUUCGCCUCUACCAGGAUUUGGGAGAAAAAACAAGAAUGCAGAGCUCCCUGACGAACUCGCGGGCCAAUGUUGCCCGGCUCCCAGCUUUUGCUGGGAUUUGCCAAGGUUUGGCUUGGCUUGGAGAGAAGCUAGGCGCUUCCGAAGAGAGGUGCUGAAAAAUUAAGAUGCAGGUUAGUUAAUGCAUCUUGGCCACCGGCUACAGGCUCCGCCUUUGCAUUAAGCGGACGCUGAUUGUGCGCUGUAGCGCGGCUGCGGGGAGGGCUGGCGGCCCGCGGGAGGGGACGGGUCGACGCGCUGGUUACAUUGUUCUGGUGCGGGCUUGGUUCUUUGUGCCUCCUCUAGCGGCCGAGCCGCGAGGUACAGCCCUCUAUUGUUCUAGGAGCAAGGAUACCUCCUGUGUGGGCGGCGGGAGCGAGAGAGAAGGACGCAGCAGUGGCUGCGACUGGCACAGAGUUGCGCGCUUUUGUGCGCACAGACCCAGCGCGGUGCGCGUGGCAAUUGCGCUGCCCCCCUCCCCCCAGGACCUAGCCGCCGUCCCAGAGAGGCAGAGGUUCACCGCGCCCCACUGGGGAGGGCACAGAGUACCCCACUGCAAGUCCGGAUGGGCAGUUUCUCUUGCACUGGGCCCAUCUCUCCAGAUCGGUGGGCCACCAAAGGGGACAAAUCGUAGUGGCAGCGAUUUACAUGGGUGCGGGAGGUGGUUUGUGCGUUGUGUGCGGCCAGCACGGUUCGGAGCCAGCUACAUACAACGCGCUUCCGGAGCCGCAAGCUCAGGCUUCCUCUCCCGCUCCCUGGGGCUUUCCCCGCACCACUGAGCCUGACUUAUGGGGUGCACUCUACCGACGCCGGAUGGGGCCGGGGGCGUGUUCACCCAGGCUUGGGAGGGGGCGUUUCCACUCUGACCGCCUCCGCCUUUGCCGGCUGUUGGAGGAUUCUGAUCUUCAAGCAGUAAUCGUCCCACAGUACUGAUCUGAAAAGGCAAAAAAACACAAACAAGAAGCAAACAAAAAAACUAGCUAUCCCCCCAAAAGCUUCCCUAAAUCGGUGGACUCCUAAUACUUUUGUGUGGGUUCACUGAUCUUUCUCUUUUAGCUUACUCUUCAUUCUCUCCUACAAUUUUCUCCUAUUUGCUCUUGGUUCCUGGGAAAGAUUGAGCAGUGAAUAGAGAGCAGAGGUGAGAAAUAUACUGGAGGCUUACUGACACUUCUGAACAGUGUGGUGCCCCUUUGUCUUAGGCCCGAAAACACCCCCCUAGCCCCUCUCAGGUAAUGUCUAGCAUAGGCUGGCUUCCUGGGCACAGGCGACCAGAAGGAACGUGGCAGCUGGAGUGGAGGAUACAGUUAAAGGCAGGAUGACAUCUAUUCUAUUCCAGACCAUCUCAGAGCGCUGCCGCCCCCUCACGCCUGUCCAGCAAAGGACAGAGCUUUAGAAAGAGAAAGAAAGAAAGAAAGAAAGAAAGAAAGAAAGAAAGAGGAAAAAAAGAAAAGGAGAAAGAAAGAAACCAUGUGCCUUUUGCCCACGUAUGUCUGAAAGUGAUGGGGCAAGUCAUGCUUUAUCUGUUAGCCCUCCUCAGCUUUUCCAAUGGCUCAAGCAUUGCUGGGGUGAGAGAGAGUGUGGCAUGCCUGGGGGUCUCCAGUCCCACCACCCACCCUAGGAAAAUCACGGUGCGGGCAUACUCCUCGGAGGCUGGACUCCGGAAGCGUGGAGGCUUUCCUGAGAAGGAGCCCUGAAGCCACCUGCACAGGAGACUGAAAGCCUCCUUCGGCGAGUGGGAAAUCCUGCUGAGGACCCCGCUUUGCUCAAGCAUUCAAAUGUGUGUCUGUUUUAUUACCCCGAGUUGAAAAGGGACAAGAGCUUUAGCCUUUUUAUCUGGCCAUUUGAUCAGCAACUACAAGUGUGUUGAGUGGUUAUUAUUACAUAGGAGGCUUUUCAGUUUGGGGUCAGUAGAUCAGUCUCUUCAGACACCGACGCAGAAGCUAGGACUGGUAAGUAGGUAUUAUGUGCUCAGGAGCGCUAGGGGACAGGAGCAAAUGGAGAAGAAAAGCAGAGGCCUUCUCGCCAGGAAUAUCGAUCGGAAUCCCCGCAGGGACGCCGCUGAGGGCCCACACGGUUCGGCUCUGGGGUUAAACAAGCCCAGUGGCUCCACAGGGCUGCUGAGGCUCACUGCCAGGCCAGAGCCUGGGAGAGCUGGCUCCUGCCUCCCCACCCCCACCCCAGCUCACCAGAACUAGGCCCCAUUUGUCUCCCAUAAUCUCCUUUUAGUUUCCCUUUCAUUUUCUCAUUUUUGACCCCUUUGGGUCUUGCCAGAGGCCCAAGCAUACAGGGAUUUGAGGGACCUCAAAAUUAAGGUGUCUGAUUCGGACCAGCUCCUGCAGAUCUCACCUUUAGGUGAAGCAAACCCGGCACAACGGAAGCAGGUCCUCCCUCCACACGUACCUGCCUCCCACAGGUCUAUCUCCUCCUUGCCAACUUACUUGGGUGUAUCCACACCCGAGGGUGGCAUUUCAAAGGUAAGGGAGAAGACAUCAGGGAAACUCAAAUUGCCCCAGCACUACGUUUCAGAGAAACAGACUCCAAGUAAACGGUUUCGUUGGGAAAGGGUGGCCAAGGCAGCAUGUGGUUGUAAUCGCACCCACUUGGGCCUCGUUGGCAGUGGUUCCAGAGGCAGGCUCCUGAAAGGCAGUUUGUGUUACCCCAGCAAGAUGCAGCAAGGACAAAAUCCCGCGGAUUUGAACCCAAAGAUUCCCUGGCUUUGAGCCCAAGAAGCCUCUGAACCAAACACAAACAUGAAAAAGGAGGGACUGAAAAAACCCAGGCAAAAACUGGACGGGCGCCUCUCAGAGGAAAAUCGAGGCUUUCCUGGCAGGCGAGUGGUCUCCUCCAACGCCCUGAAGACAGAGCAGAGCCUCUGAGCACUAAGGUUUGCACCUUGCAAGGCGGCCUGCUAGGAACCUGCCACAGUUCCCGGUGGCGGACAGACAUAAGGCCUUCUUCAGACAGCAACUCCCAGCGGCCACUCUAGAAUCAACUCUGUUGUAACGGCCGAUGCCUUUCACCAACCUGCUAUCGCAUCGUCUGGGCCACCUGAUGCCCGCAGCGGCAGAGCAUGGCCGGGACAGUCCCCAGCGGCUUUUGCCAGGAGCACCACGGGCAUGCGUGUCUCCUUUGGCGCGGGGAAGUCUUGGGCUAUGCUGGCCGACCGGCAUCUUCUAAGCGGAGAGGCGGGGACCUCAUUUUAAGAGCCUCACACCCCAGUUCCCUCCGGCUAGUGCGACUCCCGGCCCAGCUCAGCCCAUUUCUCCCCGCAGUUUAGCUCGGAUCCGAGCUCGAGAGACCGAGCGCAAUCUCCGUCCGUCCGUAUGGAACACAAGAUGUUUUCGCCUGCUGGCUCGUCGGAUUAAUAAUUGAAAAGCAACUGUUCUUGUGUGGUCAAGUCCCGGGUGCCUGGAGAACACCUUUCUAACACGCGUUAGGGGGAGCGGGAGCGGGAGGAAAAGGCAGGACUCGAGGGAGGGUAGUGAAGCCGAGCGAGAGAAGUAGCCCAGGCCGCCAGGCGCCCUCGACGCGAGCGGCUGUGCAUUUAUUUUUAUUCCAGGCUUUCCACCGUGUGGUUAUGUCACUUUCUCAAACAAAUGUGUAUAUGGAGGGAGAUCGAUGCUGAUAAUGUUUAGAAGAUUAAAAGAGCAUUAAUGCUGGCAACAAUAACGUAAACGUGUGGACCCAGAUCUCAUUGAUCUGGAACCUGAUCCGGCGCGUUUCCAGUAAGCCCGACGGCGCGCUCUUCCCAGCAGAGCGCUCGCCAGCGCCCCCGCUCCCCAGCGCCCCGUCUCCCCGGCGCUCCCGCCGCGCCGCUUUCCGGGCUCCCGGCGGACCCACGGGUCGGGCUGCGGCUUCUCCACCGCGCAGCCCCAGCUAGCCCUUUCCCAAGGCUUUCUCCAGUCGCGGAGCUGCUAGCCAUCCCCGUGGUCCCCGCGCGCGCGCACACCGCGUUCUGAGCUCUCUACGGAGGGCUCUGUAGGUGGCUGAGUCCGCGAAGGAACUGCACCAGACGCGCCGCCGAAGUCCUCCCCGCUCGCUCGUUCUCGGGGGACCGUAGCGGCCCCCGGCGGAUCGAACACUGUCCGGCUCAACUUCUUUCUUUCCAUCUAAACCCACCCAGGAAAUUCGACCUCCCUCUCGAUAUGCGGAAACGACCAAGCCCAACUGGAAACGUCUCUAAAGCUGCCUGUUAAAUGCGCAGCUUCCCGAUCCUCGGAUCCCUUCGCACCCUUCCUUGUUUUCAUUAGAAGGGAACAUUCGCACUGAAGUGUUCGUAUUCGCAGACGUUCUACACUGAUGCAUUAGUUGGGCAUUCAAAUGCGGCCCCGGUGACAAAGGCUUGGGCUUCAUCCCUCAGAACGGUCUGCCCUGGGCUAAUUAGGUCAACCAGGGAAGAACCUUAGCUCCUAUACCGGCUGGGGCAGGAAGGUAAGAAAAUCAGACUGGGGAGCCCCACCCCACCCCUUCCCACCAGCUGGAGAGAACUUGUGCUCUGAGACUCGGGUCAGAGGUUUUCCCUGAGGCACCUGCAGUGACUGGAAAAGAAAGAACUUUUGAGUUCUUCCUUCCUUCCCCCCUGGGAGAUGUCCACGCUGUGCCCCACUGCUCCCCUUGCCAAGUGGUGGCUUAUUUCAGAAGGAACACUAAGGUGAAUUUUACUGAAAUUCAGGGUGAAAGAGCUUGGAUGGUAAUGGAGGGGUGCAAUAGGAAUUAAAUUGUUCUGGCUUUUUGAAAUUCUCAAUCCUCCAACCGGUGAAAGCUAAGUUUUUCUUUCAAGAGGAGGUCUCAAUCUGGAAGGAAAGGAGUGUUUUCCUUCCUUUGCCAAGAACGAAAUGGGGGAAAUGAAGAAGGAGAGAGAAGAAGAAAAAUCUUUAAUUGUUCUGCUUUGAGGUGUGCCAGAGGGUGAACUGGUAUUUCUUUCUGUCAUUCCCAGAGACGGGGUUCACCUUCUCACCGGUGGACUUCCUUAAAGAAGGGAGCUUUGGUAUAGCACCUGAUUCCUAGUCAGGAUAUAUCUUACCAGCACCCCCCCCCCCAAACACAUUAACGUGGGUCACAUGGUCAUAUACAGAAAACAAGAAUACCUGAGUGGCAUCCUUCAGGUCGGGAAGACAACUGCCCCCCUCCCCAGAGGCCCCACGUGAAGAGCUCCUAGGUUCUGGGAGGGGUGAGCAGGCUUAGACUCUCCUCCAUACCCAUCUUAGAAUCCCAAGAAUAGGGCAGGGAUUCUGGUGAAUGGUGAGGGUAGGGCAGAGGGGAAACUGAUUGCCUCAGAUUUUGUCUCCAAGAGGAAAAAUGCUUUACCUCCUUCUAGAGCCACAUCUGCCCAGCGGUAACAGGGGUCUGAACCCUGAGGGAAGGAGAGCCUGUUUUGCUUUCAUCUUCAAUCUGAGACUUUAUUGUCGGGUCACUUCUUGGUUUUCUGGCCUUUAGAAUCUGUUUCUAAAGGAAUAUCAGAGGAAAGAGGUUGAAGGAAGAAAGUACUGGACCCCACCACACUACAGCUGGUGGCUGGUGUUGGCAGAAACUGUCUUCAGGGAGAGUGGUAUCAUGAAGGGGAAUCCCUGGAGGAAUGAAAGCCUCAAAGGAAAAGCAGAGAGAUUUAAUUUCUGGGUUCUUGCCAAAGGAAGGGAAGUGAGAAGGGAAUAAAUAGAAAUAAUUGCCUGGAUAAAGGACCCUGAGGAAAAGGGUGAGUAUUGAGACACCCCGGGCCUUAAACUUUAUCUGUGGGCUCUCUGGAUUAUCCUCACCCCUGACCAUCUCAGAGAUGCUCUGCCCACCCCCCCCCCCCCCCCACCUGGGGAAAGUCAUUUCCUCCAGGGGAUACGUUUCUUGGUGGACAAAGAGAACAUUAUGAAGAAGCCUACUGGGGUCAUUUAUGCUAUCAGGUGCAGAGCCUGCUCAAGAGAGGCCAGAAGCCCAUCAGUACCCUCAUCACCCAGUCUGUUUCCCUACCCCACUGCCGUGCUUUUGGGAAAGGCUUUUUGUUUUCCAAGUCUCACUCAAGGCAACAACUGAAAAGUGUGCAUAGGUUUCUGUAUCAGCCCAUCUGGUGCCAGACAAGGUGCAGGAUGGGCAAGGCACAGAGGCAGGCUGUCGACAUGCAUAUAGAGAUGGUCUUACUUGGGAAGCAGGAUUCCUAGAACUUGUGUACAUUCUUUAUGAAAAACUGUCCCCACGCAAAUUGCCCCGGAGGGAAGGGAGGCACUGCAUUCCACCCUGAUGCCUCUGUUGCCAUUUGAAGAUCCAUUACUCUUCUGCAGAAAGCAGACUUUGUUUGGGUUGGAAGCACACCUCCAACGUAAUUUAAUCAGCAUUGGACUUUGGCUCGUGUAAUCAAAUAUACAUAUACUUUCUCCUGCAGGAAGAAAAAUAAUUUCUCUGUAACUGGUAUUGACUUGAAGUCAUGUAAUCUCUGGAAAGCAUCACACUUUUAAAGGGAAAGGUAAAAUUAAGGGGGAAAGAACCCACAGUUGUAGUGGUUUGCCUUGCCAUUGCUAAGAGAGCCAGUUACCACCUAAGAAAGGGCUGCUCCAAUUUUAGAUAUUUCAUGCCAGCUGCCUCUGUGUAGUCAGCCUCCCACAUUUAUAUAGCAGGAACCAGGGUUGACUGGCUCACCAGAUCCUGGGAAUCUUUGGGCUGAGACAUCCUUGGAGGACCCUAUUCGAUGUUCCACAGGCAGCAGCAGCAGCAGCAGCAGCAGGAUCUCAGUGGGCAGCCAGCCCCCUUCUUUAACUGUGAUUGGUAGCUAUUGCCAGCCCACUCCCUACUCCACCCACAGGGCCUUGAGCAUGAAGCCCUACCCUAGAGCAUCCUCCUGGAGCGAUCCUGGACUCCCCACCCUCCGGGCGAGGCUUUGGGCUUUACCCAAGUUGAGUCUGUUAGGGAAUCUGUUGUAAACACAGAUCCAUUGAUUUGCAUUUGUCAGAGAGUAAAGUUAAACCAGUGAAAAGAGAAGCCCUUACCCUUUUAUGCAGGGCCAGGGAAACCUUUCAUAUUGAUCCUAUUGAUCCAACCUUUCCCUUUAAGGAAACCACAUAGUUAAAGACCCUCGUUCAAUAGAUUUACCCUUCGCGCUUGUGAUAUUCCUUUAAGUGUUCUCAUCUAGGAUAGCUGGGCAUUAAGCCCACACUCCAAACCAAACAAAAAUGAAAAGGAGGGUAGGAGGGGAGGGGUCAGGAGGCAGAAUUGUGGGAAGUGAAAUUGAACCAAACUGAAAUGUGUAAUGACUCGGUUGGAGAUGUUUUUCUCAUUCUUCUAAGAUGACACGCAGGGUUAAGAACAAAAUAGAUGCACUUAGCAUCUCUCUCUCUCUCUCUCUUCCACAAAAGAAAAUCUGUUUAUAUGCUAGAGUAGCAGUGUUUCAAGAACAUCAUUUUCUACUGUAAAAUUAUUUCAAUCAAGCCACUAGCUGGGUUCAUUCAAGCUCAUACUUAAAAGCAGUUAAUACUUCCAUAAAAAUUAUUUUGCUUCAUUUGUAGCAAAUCAGGAAUACAAUAGAACUGUCCCCAGAAAUGCAAUAUUUUGGACUAUGUAUUUGAGCGUGGACACUGAAGUCACUUCAGAAGAAAGAGCGCUUGGAGUUUUGUGUUCUGAUAGAAGUGGGUAGAAAACAGACUGAUAAUAAGGUAAAACUUUUUUUCUUUUUUCUUUCUUUCUUUUUUUUCCUUUUUCUUUCUUUUUUUUUUUUUUACAGAGCAGUAUAGAUGGAAUAGGAGUUGCUAACUAUUGAUCAGUAUCCCUCAUGUUUGCAGAUAUGAAAAUGAAAGUCCCCUUUGUUUCCAGAACUGUUGGUACAAUCCAUUUCAUUUCUUCCUUGACCCUUUUUUGUUCUGUAAAUAAUCCAUGUCUGAUUUUAUUUUCAACAUGGUACAUGCAUUAUUCCUAAUUGGCUAGCUUUUGGGUUGUGUUCAGACGUUCAUGUUUGUUUUCUGUGAUUGAAAAAUAUUAAUGAUUCCUUAGGUGAGCUAAUGUAUUUAUCUGCUGACUGAGUUCAAAGGGCAGAGUUCAGCUAUGGUUCAGGUUAAUUGAACAGGAAGCAGUGAGCUCUCCGGGCUGUGUUGAGCAAGGGACCAGUCCCUUAAAAUAUCACACUCAGCAAACACACAAUUUCACUGUCCUCAUCGUGGAGUCUGAUGUAAGAGGCUCAGAUCAACUCGGAUUGCCUGUUUAAAAACCCAAAGCAAAGCACAGCAACUGCAACAAGCCCUCAGAGUCCCCCUCGGGGAAGAAGAGUUUUCUCAUUGGCUAAUUGCUUUAUUGGUAGCACUGACCUGCAGAGCAGCUGCAGGGGCCUGGAUGAAGGCUUAGGCCUCAUAAUAAUGUGCUCCAUUAGAACAGGGCAAGGCAUUUUUUGUUUACUCAAUUGGAGCUCCCUGCAAAGUGCCAUUAACCCCAGCCCAAUCGUGUGUGUGCUGCAAAAGCCAAAGGUCACACCAGUCAGGCUGUAGGCAGAGCCUGCUCUGCCCUGGUGGGAGGGAGGGGGCAUCCUGCUGGCAUUGCCUUCCCCAAGCUUGGCCCAGCCCUAUAGGCCCCUCCAGGGCUUUGACCACAGCAAGCAGUUGCACAAUCUGUUUACAUUUCCCAAUUGCUGAAUCAUGUUAUUGAUGAUUAAACAGUUCUGAUCUAAGCACCAUCAAUCACACCAGAAAAAAAAAAAAUCCUCCCACUGACCCUCUCUUUUCUAUUUAUGUUUUGUUCAUUGUGCAUUACAGUAAAUAGAAUUGUGCAAACAGUGCUUAUUAGCAGGAAUAUAGUCUGGAUAAGUGCUUGGAUCAAGAGGAAGACAGACCUGCAAACAUGGCUGGGGGUGGGGUGGAGGAGUUCUUAGCAGAAAGAAGGUUUGAGAUGGAGCCCCAGCAUAGUCAGGGCUUCUACAGAGAGCACCUUGAGCUAGAGUGCCACCUGCCGGGAGUCUUCUAACUGCAGUAAGUCUUGCACCUCCCACAAGGCUCAAGCCCCUUCCUUUACUUUGUUCCUAGUAUCUGUGUCCCCAUUCCUCACCCUCCAGACCACUACCCACAUUUUCCUAGGAAUUUCUUGCAGGACUUUUUCCUUUUUCCCUGGUACUCUAGCCUCUGCCUCUCCUAAUUCAUUGGUUCUGCUGUGAUGGGUAAGGUGAUUUGCCCACUCUGCACACUGAAGUAAUAGUCUCCUCUUUCUUGGGAGAGAAGGGGCGGAGAAAGCAAAAAAUAUGUGUGGGAGAGAAGAGGAAUGGUUAUGUGUGCAGGAGAAAUGCCUCAGUUGAUGGUGCCAGUGAGAACUCUACCAACUGUAAGGUGCUCUGGAAAGGUAAUAUAUUGUACAAAGGAGGGGAGUGGGAGAAAAUUAGUACUGGCAGGGAGGACAUCAGGAAAGAGAUAUGCCAAAUCAGCGAGCCAGAGGUGGGCCCUGUGAAAUCCCCUGGGAAGAAAGAAAAGUGAAGCAGCCGUUUUGCAAUUGCAAAGAAGUGAGCCAGUGAGCUAGAUUUGGAGCCAAACUGUGGAGCUGACCGUAUCUCUGUGGGCAGCAGCUUUUUCCAGACUCGCCUCACAUCGAUCUCGGCCCAGAGCCCCUGGCUGCCUAACGCCUGUGGGUGGGUUGCCGCCUCCGCGCCCGACGCGGGGUUCAGCACCACGAACAGCGCCACGGAGCGCCCCAGAGACUGCCCGCCUGGGCUGCGGUCUGAGCGAGUUUCCAUCUCAACCCAGAGAAGAAAAAUGGGUUCCUCUACUCGGGUUAAAUUCAGGCAGGACCCUGAACAGUAGCUACAGCUCUGUAGAUCUCGGCGCCCCAGACAGAACAGGGCUUCAGAUUUUCCUCUCGAGCCCCAUGGCUUCCGUUCUCUGUGUGAGGUCACCGAUAAUAGAGAGAGAGGAAGCGAUGCCAAGUCAGAGGACAAAAGAUGCUAAACGACCCUUUCCUUCGGAAGAGGAAGAACAUUACCUCUGUUGGGAGGGCUGAAGGAUUGAACUGUUUUUCCCCAUGUUACUAGCUUGUGCAGACACUGAUUACAGCUCUCAACAAGAUAUUUUAGAUUUGGGUUUUCUUUCCAGGUUUACAGUCUAGUUGCCCCACACAGGUGUACACAAAUGGAUGCUUUUUCCCCCUACCAACAUGCUGAUUUUUGAAAACAUGGUUUUCAUUAUAUUGAACAAUAUUCUCACGUUGUAUCAGCACUAAUGUUGCAGGGAGAGCCAACUAAGGGACAUCACUACCUCCAAUAAGUCUUGAAACUGGGUUCGAUUUCUUGAGAGCCAUCUUUGAUGGGCUCCCUUUAAGAACCUCUGCACCACUCUGUGGGCCAAGGGUUGAGUCACUUCCUCUAGGUCACACAGUGGAGACAGGUGGGCCUAGCCAGGGUGAGAACUGACAUUAGGCACAGACCCCUGACUCUGGCCAUUUUUUAAUCAGUUGCUCUGCUUUCUUUGUAUUUUUAUUCCAGAGAAAAGAGACAGAUAGAUGGGUCCUUAUGGUCUAUAAUAGGGCACAACUCACCUCUCUUUGGAUUUCUAGUAAAAAUAUGGCCCUUGACUUCUCAAAGCUAAUUAAAAUGAAACUUUUGCUUUAUUUCAAGGAAUUUUAGUUGAAGCCUAAUUUAUUGCUAAAGUGGUUUCAGGGAGGUCAAGCACAGGAACAGACAAGUGUAUCCACUUUAAAAGAAAGUCAAGGAUGUGAUAUAUGAGACUGUCUUCCUUAUGACAAUUCAUCUUCAAAUUCCAAGUGGCUCUUGCAUGAAAAUACAGUCCAAAAAAACAGAACAAAUCUGGUAGAGCAUUCACUGCCAGUAUUAAAAUAGAAAAUAAUUUUCUUUGUUCAAAUUUUGCCGUCAAAAUGAACAGGAACAUGUUUAAAUCAUAUCUAAGAACUGGUUUUAAAUCUAUUUGAUAAACAUUGAUUAAAGCAGUUUCUUCAAGCCACAUGAUCCUUGAAUUUGCAGACAUGCAUUUCUUAGUAGUUGUUGGGUUACACCACCAAAACCUUUUCCAGUAAAACAUGGAUUUGACAGUAAGCAAAACCUUUUUUUUUUCAGUCUAUUUUAUAUGCAUCACUGCAUUUUAUUAAAAUAAGACAGUAAAUUCUGUGAGGGCUUAUGCCAAAUGCAUUUCUUUUACAGUGAACUCAGUAAGUGAACUUUUCCAAAGAUGUUUCCACAAGACUGCAAUGAAAAUAGGACCUCUCCUAGUCUCUUUUGAUUCCAAAUACUAAAAAAUGGGUGGGGUAAAGAACUUUUUUGCUUUUCUGAAACAAUGUAACAGAUUCCCAAAUCUAUGAUAUUUUUCUUGGAUUUAGUGGUCUCCUUAAUGUAUACCAGAGUCCACUUCAGUUCAUGGUCAAGGCACAAGAGUGGAUUCUUCGUUCAUCUCAAUGUGUAACCUCUCUUCAUUUCUCUUUCAUUCUUCUGCAAAGGAAGAGACAGUUUUCCCGAGGCCAAUUCCUCAACCUGAUUCUGGGCCCUUGUCCCUCCUGUCCUCUCAGGAUCCCAGACUCACCUGUGUUUAGACCCUCUUCCUCUCCAUUACCAUUUUCCGGUCAGCAUAUUUGUGCUCCUGUUCCUCUUUUUAGAAAACGCACCCCCACCUUCCAACACACACACACACACACACACACACACACACACACACACACACACCUGUCCUAGCUUCUCUUCCCUCUCUUCACUCCUGGAGUUGCAUGAACUCUGUGUCUGUUUCUCACCUCCUCCUCCCAGCCCAGCUUUGUGCAGGCUGGUUCUAGCCACUCCUGUUUACUAAACCAGCUCUUAAGCAGUGUCACUGUUGAGGUUCUUGUAGCCAAACCCAAUGGGCGCCUCUCAGUUCUUAUUUUCACUGGGCCUCUCCUCAGCAUUUGGCACACUGCUGACCACCCACAUCUUGAAACCCUUUCUUCUCUUGACUUCUGAAAUAAUACUGUAUACUCUCUCAUUUUGCUUAUUAGCAUUCUGGCCACUUUUUGUGGUCUCCUUUCUGGGCUCUCCUUGAUUUGUCCAUCUAGCUCAGAAUCCUGGCCUAGGCCAUUUUUACCCUCAACAUACUCACUCUGGAAGAUCUCACCCAUCCAGUUACCAUCUCUUUAUGCGGAAGACUUCUUGGUGCCUCUCCAACCCUAUGUGUCUCUUAGCUCCAGGUCCUUAUUUCCUUCUACAUCUGAAUAUCUUUGCCUGAACAUCCUCAAAUGUAGUUUACCUCUUCUUUUAUCCCCUUUCAGUAAUAUUACUUUGUACACAGAAUCUCAUGCCAGAAACUGGGAAAUCAACUCAGACUCUUUCCUUUUCCUCUUUCCCCUUGAGUCGACCAUACUAGCCCCAUGGAUUUUACUUCCUAAAUAUCUAUCUGUCUCUCUCCAUUACCUGUGCUGCUGCCCUAAUUGGAGCCAUCCCAACUUCAGCAGCCUCCUGACUGGUCUCCCUGUCUCCAGUCCUGACUUCUCCCACCCAUUUUCCAACUUAAGCCAGAGUGGUUUUUCUGGAACCCAAAUAUGACCACAUGACACCAUUAUUUAAAAUUCUUUGUUAGCUCCCUGUGACCAUAGGAUGAAGGUCCAGACCCUGAGCAAGAUGUACCGGCGCCUAUGUGGAUUGACCCCUCCUCACAUAUAGUCUCAUCUCACGUCGUCUCCAUUUCACUCUGCUCUGGCCAUACUGUACUAUUGCCAGCAACUCAAACACAUCAGGCCAUUCCUUUGGCAAAAAACACUUCUUACUCAACUAACUUGAACUUAAUUUCAGAUCUUGGUUUAGAUGUCCUUGCCUCUAGGAAGUCUUCUCUAGUCUCCUCAAUUGGGAUGCCCUUGGACAACCCCUCCCAUUGCACAUAGAACAUAAACAGGUAUCACCUGCUGAUUUGUGUCUUCCCGCCAAAGAUUGUAAGUUCUAGUAGAGAGAAGGUUGGAUGUAUUAUAUAAUAGACAGCCAAUAAGUAUCUGUGAAUAAACUAAUAAAUACCUUUCUUUUAUAUGACACUGUUUCUUCUCACUUACUCACCCAAGUUAGUAGGUGGCAUUUUGAAACAGAAUCAUCAUGGGAGCGCCUGGGUGGCUCAGUUGGUUACGUGUCUGACUUCGGCUCAGGUCAUGAUCUCGUGGUCUGUAAGUUUGAGCCCUGCAUCCAGCUCUGUGCUGACAGCUCAGAGCCUGGAGCCUGCUUCAGAUUCUGUGUCUCCCUUUCUCUCUGCCUUUCCCUCACUUGUGUGCACACACACGUGCUCUCUCUCUCUCUCUUGCUCCCUCUCUCUCAAAAAUAAAUAAACAUUAAAAAAAAAAAAGAAUCAUCCGUGUUGGUGCAUCAUUUUGGAGCAGUAUUUCAUAUUUCACCGUAUCAAGUUCUCAUCAGUGUCAUUUUUCUCCUAAGCUAAAACAGUACAGGUAUAUAUGAGUUGUAACAGGAAUCUUGAAAUGGGGUUGAGUCUUAUCCAGAGCUUCAGAUUAUUACCAAUGAGGUGAGGAAUGUAAAAUGACAGUCACCAGACAACUAGAAUAGGGACCUUUUUUACCAGUUGACUCUGGUACUCCAAGGUAACCUGCUUCAGUCAGGUCAUUUUUCUUGCUAUUCUGCUCAUAUGUUGUCCUCUUUGCCAUGACUCUGUCUUUGCACACUCUUUUCCCCACUACUUGGAAUGCUUCAUUUUAUGCCUCUUUCGGUCCCUUCCCGGCCACUUCUGAUCUUCCUUCUCUAGAAGUUCCCAGCCUACUCCAGUCUCUUCAUUUCUCUUUCUUUUCUAAAUUCUGGCUGCAGUCAUCCAUUCCAAACUGCAUAGCAGCUUCUUAGCUAUGGUCUUACCCCACUCUCUAGACCUCUUCUAUGUCUCCCUCCAACUCUGGAGAGGAGAUAUUACAUCCUGUGCCUCCCACAGCUACUGGUCCACAGCUGACCCCAUAGUAGGCAUUUUUUUUCCCCAAGUGAAUCAUUUGAUGGAAUCCUGCCUAUCUUUAUGGAAUCCCCUAAUUUCGGUCACUCUUGCAGGGAAUGGGUUGUGUAGAUUGACUUAUAUUUGGCAUUCUUUUCUAGCCUCCACUCUUCAAAAAUGAAUAUUCUUUUCUAUAAAGGUUUUGAUUGUUGACAGAAAUUCUUGCUUACAUAACCAAAAAUAGAUUCCUAUGUCAACCCAAAAUGAGAGAUAAGCUAAAUACGGAGGAAACAGUGCUCAUGAUGGGUCAGUUAAUACCAAAGGUUGUUCUACUUCCAGACAAAGCCAAACAUUUUAGAACAUUUACAUCUGCAAACACAUCAGCAAAUCAUAGGGACUGGUUUCCCCUAUUCAGUCAUUUUAAUUGCCAGUAAACUAAACUUGAGUUAAAAUGGCCAUUAUCUGAUAAUACUGCAAAUUCUUAGAUUAUUGAUUUAAAUUUACCUAUAAAGAAAAAAGCCAGAGGUCAACAUUUUUGUAUUCAUAAGUUUAUCCUUUUCCUUUCUCAUUUCCUUAUCUUUUGGCAAAUGUGUACAUAAGCAAAAUUACCUGAGAUCUUUGCAACUUAGUCGUUCAAAAAUUUCCAGAUGUACCAGUUCUGCCUACACCGUACUGAACUAAGUAGUUAAGAAGGGGGACAAAAAUAACUUGCUUAAUCUUUCAUUUUACUGGAUUUUUAGGAUUUAAGUGAGCAAAUCCUCAUUUACCUUUACAAUAUCCAUAUAGGAUUGAGUGAAAAGAAAUUUUAUUGUUAUCUCAAGUUUAGUGGGAAAUUGAAAGUAAGAUAAUUUGCUAUAUAUCUUAUGUGGAACUUAUUUAUUGCCUUGAGAUGUUUUAUCUUUUUUACAGCUAUGUUUUGACAUUCAUAUUACAUGAAUAAAAAACUAAGAAGACCAAACAUGUAUAAACAGAAUUUAGUGUUAAAAUUAAAACAUUCCAGACUUUUUUUUUUCCUGAUGACUUUAAUUGAAUGCAUUGCUGUGCUGCAUGAUAAUUAGGGAUCCUCAGUAAACAGUUGACUUAAGUGACUGUCAUUCAUGUGCCUUGCAUAGCCCAACCAAGUUUCUGUUGACACAGAGGCAGAGAUAGACAGGUUGGGCAGAGCAAGAGGAAGCUCUGGGGCCUGUCUGAAGACCUCCCAGUAGGGGCCAACCUCUUCUCUGGCUGGAGCACUAUGACCUGGCACCAAAGACCACACAUUGUCCUUUAUUUCUUCUGCCUGGUGCUUCAGCCUCCUCCCCUGCCAUCCUCCCAAAGGAAUCAGGUUGGACCCAGAGGAAUCAGAACUGCUGAGCUCACCCCUCCCUGACCUGUUUUCCACCAAGAGCUUUGGACUCAGGCUUCCAUAGGCAGAUUCUGGAAAUUCCAUUAAAAAGGGCAGAGUGGGGAGUAGGUAGGUGAUUGGAUUGGAGGGGAAAGGAAUGAAAAUCAACAGGAUAAAUAGGUGGGCUUUUCUGCUAUAACUCAUACCAACUGAGGAGCCCAAGUGUUCUGCCUCCUUAGAGCUCUGAAAUUCCCCAGGAUAGGCAAAUCCCUAUCUCAGGUUGGGGAAGAGCCUCAAGCUAAGAAGGGUGGGAGUCCAUGGCAGGUCCUGAGAACAGUGUCUGUACUACCCAGAUCCUUCUCUCCUGAGCUAUUGGGAAGGGGUUGGAGGCACCAAAAAUUCUUUUUUCACCACACCUUCACCCAGCUGAUCUUACAGAGGUAGGAGCAAGUUAGUACAGUGGAAUGAAUGGUCUUUGCUUUGGAGUCAGACAGGCUUGAGUAUUGAUUCUAACUCUGCCAUUUACUAGCUCUAACCUAACUGCUCUGAGUCUCAGAGCAGUUAUCUACCUUGGAGAGCAGAUGUAAGUAUCAGAGAGGAUCUGUAUAAAGUAGCUGUCAAGUAAUAGGCUGACGGACUGUCUACAGGACUUCCCCACAGAAUCACUUACUUGGAGUGGUGACCUGAGGGACAAGAUGACUUUGGAUGUUGGAGAGGGGUUGCAAAAGGAUUUUAUUGAAAUUCUAUUAUAUGCUGUGUAUCAGUUACCUACUGCCGUAACAAUGCCAAGUAACAAACCAUCUCCCAAACUCAUGGCAUUCGACAAUAAACAUUUUUUUUUCUCACAAAUUUGUGGGAUUCAGUUGAUCUAGGCUGGUCCCUGCUAGGCUUGAUCAUGUGUCUUUGGGUGACUCUGCUCCACACGUCCCAUCCUUUUCUGGGACCACUGUAGUGGCCUGAGCAUGUCCUUUGCAUAACAGUGGCAAAGGGGAAAGCCCAAGCAAUAACAUACUCUGCAACAUACCGUUGGGGAAAGCGAGUCACAUGGCUGAGCCCAGAGACAGAGUAGAAGGGUGAAUUGGAACUUUUUCUUUUUUCUUUUCUUUUUGCAAUCUAUGUAAUGCCAUAUAUUUUAGCUCCCUUUUAAUUUUGCAAGAAGCCAUCCAUUUCUAUGGUAGGGAUAGGACAGGAUAAGCAAUUUGGCAACAAAUAGAAAAUAAAUGUGGAAGUAUCUCAAUAUACUUUGUUAUUUUAUACUUUAUACCAGUAAUAAAUGUAUGGCCAACUUGAUGGGAGCCAUAUUUCUUUGUGCUAUGUCUAUCAGUGGACAUGCCUGACCUGUCCUUCUAGAUCAUAGCAGGCAGGCCUCCUGAGCUUUGCUCUCCUUCAUCUUCCCUUUAGUGCUAGUACAGGGCUUAACAUGUAGUUGGCACUCAAUAAAUACAGAAUGCCAAAUGAUCCCCAGGGUGACAUAGCUCUAGUGUCCUAUUAGGAGAUCCCCUCUGGCUGACCACAUAUAGCUCUCCCUGUAUUUAUAAAAAGGCUUUAUUUUCAGUGGUUCUGUUUUUUCCCACUGAAAUAAUCACCAAAUAUCUGAUGCCUGCAGAAGUUAAACCAUUCGAUCCAGAUCUCAGUUAUUCUACGCCCACAAAAUCCAAACAAUGUGAACACUUUGCUUAGAGUUUGCUAAUGAAGACAGAAGCAAUUUGGAGAUGCCAUCAACAAGAUCAAAAGAUUUACUCUCAUGUGACUCUGACAAUGUUUAAAGUUUGUUGCUGUUUAUUUGUUUGUUUUUAACCUUAGGUUCUACAUCUGGGGCAUUAUUUUUUAAAUCAUAAGCAGCGUUAAAAAUACCUGACAGUUUUGUUCUGAUUCUUAAUGUGGGUGUUAAGAGAUGCUUUCCAUUAGUGAGUCUGCCCCAGAUAAUGUGUUUAUUUGCAUCUUCCUUUUCUCUGCCUGUCCCCUAAUGGUCUGGUACACAGAAGGCUACUUGAGCUGAUUUAUAUGGAUCUCAGUUGCUCUCAUUUGUGCAUACUUAAUUCAGAGAGGUGAUCCCAUUGAUUUCUGAGUCCCACUAUUCAAGACAUUGUACUUACAUAGAUAUCUCAGCUGCUCUAACUACAUUGUCUGAAAAGGAAAACAUUUUAAACCUUUGGAAGCAAUUUUGACGGACAUUUCAUUGUGUUCUAUAUUACUUACCUAAUUAAAUUUCCUUCACAUCAAGGUCUGUUUAAAAUUAAAUUGAGAAAUAUUUUUGAGUUCCAUUGGGCAGAUAACUUUGUUUGGCUGGAUUCGUUCUGCGUAUAUAUGAAAUGGCAUCCUAUGAAUCAAUAUCCAGUGCUUAGACUUCCCAUAGAUGUGAAGAAAUGACACCCUUACUAGGCAAAUGUAGUCUCCUGUUAUUAUAACAAGCUGUCCCUGGUUACUGAACUUGUUUACCCUGUAAUUCCAAAAAGUCCUCGCAGUUUUGUGCCUGUGGUUUGGGCAGGCUGAUUUAUUCAGAUGCUAAGCAUUGCGAACAAAAUUUGUAACUUAUUUCAUGGAUUAGCUGGAGUCCUGGGACUCUUACAUAUAAGCUCACAGCCCAGCUCGAGGCAGCUAGCUUCCUCGGGGGGGCACGCAAUCUUAUUUGCCUAGCCAAGAGUUUAGAAUUCCAGACUGGGUUUGAAAGCAAAAAGGGUGAGUUGUCUGAGGGCUAAUUCCCAGUGGAAGAGGUGUGAUAAUGUUUUGUAUCUUUGGAAGCAAGAAAUAGGAGAAAGGCUUUAUCUCUGACUCCACCCACUCUGCUACUGAAGACAAGAAAAACAGACCCUCCUCAUCUUUUAUCCUAGCCCUCUUUGAGACAGCCAUUCCAUUAAAUUCUGUGGCAAAGGACCCUGUGGUAAUAAAGCUGUAAUUGAAGAGCUGGCGCUCCGUAGGCACUGCUUUAAUAUUUUUAAAAAUAGUCCCAAAGAACUGCUUUUUGUUGCACUGUAAAUUGGCCUUUCAGCAUUUCAGAAUUCAUUAGAAUCUUCAAGGUCUUCAAGGUUUAUCCUUAUCUGGUCUUAGUCCAUUCAGGCUGCUAUAACAAAGUACUGGCAACUAGGUAGUUUAUAAACAACAGAAACUUAUUGCUCAGAGUUCCCGGGGCUGGAAAUUUGAGAUCAGGGCACCAGCAUGGUUGGCUGAGGACCCCCUCCUGGGUUGUGGACAUCCCAUUGUGUCCUCACGUGGAGGAAGGGACUAGGGCUCUCCCUGGGGCCUCUUCCAUAAAAGCACUAACCCCACUGGUGAGGGCUCCGUUUUCAAAGACUCCACCUACUAAUACCAUCACCUUUGAGGCUAAGGAUUUCAAACAUAUGAAUUUUGGGGUCACACAUAUUCGGCCCAUAGCAAACUCUGUGCCUCAGAUUAUAGGCACAUCAUUAAGUUACCGUGGGCCUUAAAUGACCCCAUGCAUAUAGAUGCUUAGAACAAUGGGUACAUCAUGAAUGCUUGCUAAUUUCGCUGCUAUCAUUGUUAUUCCUGUUGACUCAUACUACCUUUUGUAAGUUCUCUGUAUAUCAGCAGGAGAUUUGGCCCAAGGGACCAACUCUCCCACAAUCUUUAUACAUGAAGAGUAUUGCUCGGUGUUGUCAUCGAGAGCAUGAGCUCUGGGGCUAGACAGAUCUAAUUUGUGUCCCAGCUACACCACCUACUAGUUAGCUAUGUGACUUCAGGCAAGUGAUCGACUUCAGAGAGACUCCAUUACUUUCUCUGUAGAAUGGGGGUAAGGUUGCUGUCUGACAUCACCUAGUUGGCGUGCAGACUAAAUGAGAUACCACCACAGAUGCUUAAUGCUGCACCUAGCGCACUUAACUCUUAUCUCCUCGAUACCACAGAUGACACCCCGUUUCACAUGGACACAUCUGUCCUUCAGCAUAAUGUAUGCAUCAUUUUCACUGGUGGAAUUUGUGAUGACAGAGAUUGCCAGGCACCACGUUGGUCUCAGGAUGCAGUCCUUUCAAACGGGUCAGAUGUGCCCCAGGGUUAUUUACUCCUACUCUGCCCCACGCCACCGUGUCCUUUUAAGACUCAACAAUUAUGGACAUUCUGCUAAGCUCAUGCUUAGAACAUGGAAGUCUGAUUUGCAUGUAAGUAGGUCCUGACUGAACCCUCUCUAACCUAUAGCGGGAUAAAGUCUGUUUUGGUGUGGUACAUGUUGAGCACAAAGUCUGGAUUUGCUAGAAUUUUACAUGUAAAAACUGCAGCUCAGCCAACGAGGCUCAGCUUGUCUUUGUCCUCAUCGUGAUCACAGGUUUGGGGGUCACAUCAGAAAGUUAUUUUCUCAGACAUCCCGGUGGUAAAAGGCUAAGAGUGCUGAGAAUGGUUUCCCUGUUAGCAUCUUUUCUGGUUUCAGUAUGUCUGGAUCCUGCCUCUUUAUCAUGUUCCUCAAAUCUACUCUUUGUGCAUUACCAUGGGUGCUCCUGUAACUCCCUGUAUGACUUUUGUUGUGGUUCACACCAUCAUCUUUACUCCCAAAGCCAGGAGCCUUAACAAGAAAAAAAAAAAAAGAAAGAAAGAAAGAAAGAAAAGGAAAGAAAACCCAUAGACACCUUGCGGUUGCUUUUUCUGAAGUAGCAACUUUUUUUGCUAAUGAAAGAUUUUGAAGCCACGGGCCUCUGAAUUCUCAACACACGAGUCUAUUUAAACAGUCUCCAGAAUCCUUUCCUGACCCCAAAUUACUCCCACACAUUAAUUGUCCUAGUGGUUUCAUGGCCACAUUAUUUCAUAUUCAUUAGUGUUUUCAUGAAAAAUUAUAACGCUAAUUACAGCAGCUUCCAGUUAAUUCACUUGGUGAUUCAUUUUCUCUCCCUCUUGGUGUUCUGCGUGUGGUCAUCUUGGAGAAAGCAUCCAAGGGGUAAUUGCAGCUCUAUUCCCUGAGUGAUCGCCUAAUGCCAUUAGUUCUGAUCCACAGGCGCAUCUUGGGCAGCUCCGAUGGGGUCUAGUUACAGCUGCACCCUGGGCCUGCCCUUCGAUGCAGGGAGGGAGGGAAGGCUGCAGGGAGGACAGGUCUUCUGAAGGGGAGGGACGGGUUUAAGGAGGAUGAAGUGGGAGCGGAGCUUCUUGGUGGGAGUGAGCGUCACUGUAACGUCUUCUGGAAUGGGGGUAAGGACAGGAUAGCGCCAAGAGAAAUCGGCCCUGAGAAGGUGUGUUUGGAAGAGAAUAAGGCAAGCAAAUUCUCUUCAGUUCUUGCAGAUGUGUGGACAGGCCCCAGCUACACUCUGGAAGCCUGCUUCCCGCUCAGAGUUCUGAUGCCAGUUCUCCUCAUUAAAAGUUUAUUUGACCUCACCGCCAUUAGGAUGGCAGCUAGCAAAAAAACCCAGAAAAGAACAAGUGUUAGAUGCGGAGAAAUUGGAAACCUUGUGCGCUGUUGAUAGCACUGUAAAAUGAUGCCGCCUCUAUGAAAAGAAUGUGGCAGUUCCUUAAAAAAUUAAAAAUUAAAUCACCGUAUGAUCCAGCAAUACCACUUCUGGGAACAUAACCCAAAGAAUGGAAAGCAGGGGUCCAGGAGAAAUUUGUACACCCAUGUUCAUGACAGCAUCAUUCAUAACAGUCCAAAGGUGGACACAACCAAAUGUCCAUCGAUGGAUGAAUAGAUAAACAAGAUGUGGUAUGUACAUAAAAUGGGAUAUUACUCGGCCUUAAAGAGGAGGGAAGUUCUGACAUAUGCUACAACAUGGAUGAACCUUGAGGACAUUACACUAAGCGAAAUAAGCCAGUCACAAAAAGAUACUGUGUGAUCUCACUUAUGUGAGGUGUCUAGAGUAGUCAAAUUCAUAAAACAGUAGGAGAAACGGUGGUUGCCAAGGACCAGGAGAGGAGCAACGAGAAUUUGUUGUUUUAAUGAUACAGAGUUUUCUGUCUUACAAGAUGAAAAUGUUUUGCCAAUUGGUUGGACAAUAAUGUGAAUGCAUUGGACACUACAGAACUGCGCACUUAAAAAUGGUUAAGAUGGCAAAUUUUAUGUUAUGUGUAUUUCAGCACAGUUUUUUAAAUGUUUAUUUCUGAGAGAGAGAGAGAGAGAGAGCACGCAGGGGAGGGGCAGAGAGAGAGGGAGACACAGAAUCCAAAGCAGGCUCCAGGCUCUGAGCUGUCAGCACAGAGCCCAAUGGCGGGCUUGAACCCAUGAGCUGAGAGAUCAUGACCCGAGCCCAAGCUGGACGCUCAACCAACUGAGCCACCCAGGCGCCCCAACAAUAAUUUUUUAAAAAGAUUAGUUGUCAUUUAUAUUGUAAUGCUUGCUUACUAUUAAAAAUGAGAAAAUAGAAAAAAUAGAAGAGUAAAAAUGUUCUUCUGCCACUCAAAGACAACCAUAUUAAUACUUCGCUUUUAUUAAAUUUAUUUUCUAAUUAUUUAGGUAAUGCAUUGAAACAUUCUUCUUGUGCAGGGAGCCUGGGUGGCUCAGUCGGUUAAGCAUCUGACUCUUGGUUUCCACUCAGGUGAUGAUCUCACAGUCUGUGAGGUGGAACCUGCGUCAGGCUCUACACUGACAGUGUGAUUCUCUCUCCCUCUGUGUCCCUGCCAUGCUCAUGCUUUCUCUCUCUCUCAAAACAGAUAAAUAAAUAUUAAAAAUAAAUAAAAAUAAAACAUUCUCCUUAUAAAGACUCACAACCUUAAUGAUCAGGAGGAAGUCUCCUUUGCCCACCUCCUGUAAUCCCAGUCUCUUUAUCACUUGCCAGUAGUGACGUUCUUACGGCUUCGAUGAUGUCCGCCAACGCAAGUGCUUCCGAUGCAUUCAUUUACCUAUACAUGUACUCACUGAAACGUUUAUCUCAGAGGCCUGCACAUUGUCCUGCCUUAACGCGAGUCCUGUAGCAUGCAAAUUAGUCUUUUUGUGUUUUUAUCUUAUGUGUUUUGCUUCUUGGAUAACUUUUAAACAUUCGCCUGUUUAUUCUUUGAAGACUUUAUGUUUUCUACAAACUUUUAGGUUUACAACAUAGUGAGAAGGAAGCUACAGGGAUUUCCCGUAUACCUCUUGCCCCACACAUGCCUUGCUUCCCCCUUUAUCAACACCACUCACAAGAACGAUACAUUUUUGUUUUUUGACAUAUCAGAAUCACUCAAGUUCAUAGUUUACCUUAGUGUUCACUGUUGGUGUUGUACAUUCUGUGGGUUUGGACAAAUGUAUGACAUGUAUCCAUUAUUCUCAUACAGAGUAUUUUCACUGCCCUAAAAAUCCUCUCUGCUCUGCCUCUUUAUCUCUUCCCCUUUCUACCUCCAGGCAAUCACUGAUCUUUGUAUUGUGUCCACAGUCUUGCCUUUUCCAGAAUGUCAUAUAGUUGGAGUUAUGCAGUAUCUACUCUUUUCAGAUUGACUUCUUUCACUUAGUAAUAUGCAUUUAAGGUCCUCUGUGUCUUUUCACGGCUUGCUAGCCCAUUUCUUUUUAGUGCUGAAUAAUAAAUAUCCCAUUGUCUGAAUCUACCACAGCUUAUUUAUCCAUUCACCUGCUGAAGGACAUCUUGGUUGCUUGAGUUUUGGCAGUUAGGAAUUAAACUGCCCUGAACAUCUAUGUGCAAGUGUUUGUGUGAACAUAGUUGUCAUUUCCUUUGGGUAAAUACCAAGGAGUGCAAUUUCUGGAUCAGAUGUUAAGAGUAUGUUUAGUUUCGUGAGAAACUGCCAAAUUGUCUUCCAAAGGAACAACAACUUUGCAUUCCUGCUAUAGCAAUGUAUGAGAGCCACUGUUGCCCCACAUCCUCGCCGGCAUGUGAAGUCAGUGUUCUGGACUGACAUUAGAAUUUCGGUCUUUCUAAUGGGUCUGUAAUGGUAUCAUAUUAUUGUUUUAAUUUGCACAUUUCCCUGCUGGCAUAUGGGGCAUUUUUGCAUAUACUUGUUUGCCAUUUGCCAUCUGUGUAUCUUCUUUGGUGAGGUAUCUGUUAACGUCAUUGGCCCAGUUUUUAAUUGAGAUGUUUGUUUUCUUAUUGUUGAGGGUUCCCCCCCCCCCACUUAUUGUCGAGUUUUAAGAGUUUUUUGUAUACUUUGGAUAAAAAUUCCUUAUGACACGUGUCUUUUGCAAUCAUUUUCUCCGAAUUUGUGGCUUGUCUUCUAGGGGCGCCUGGGUGGCGCAGUCAGUUAAGCGUCCGACUUCAGCCAGGUCACGAUCUCGCGGUCCGUGAGUUCGAGCCCCGCGUCAGGCUCUGGGCUGAUGGCUCGGAGCCUGGAGCCUGUUUCCGAUUCUGUGUCUCCCUCUCUCUCUGCCCCUCCCCUGUUCAUGCUCUGUCUCUCUCUGUCCCAAAAAUAAAUAAACGUUGAAAAAAAAUUUAAAAAAAAAUUGUUUUUAACGUUUAUUUAUUUUUGCAAGACAGAGACAGAGUGCAGGUAGGGGAGGGGCAGAGAGAGAGGGAGACAUAGAAUCCAAAGCAGGCUCCAGGCUCCAAGCUGUCAGCACAGAGCCCAACGUGGGGCUCGAACCCAUGAACCGUGAGAUGAUGACCUGAGCUGAAGUCAGAUGCUUAACUGACUGAGCCACCCAGGCACCCUGAGCAGGAAUUUUUAAUUUUCAUGAAGUCCAGCUUACCAACUGUUUCUUUCAUGGAUUGUGUCUUUGGUGUUGUCUCCAAAAAGGCAUCACCACACCCAAGAUUGUCCAGGUUUUCUCCUUUGUUAUCUUUUAGUUUUAUAGCUUUGCUUUUUACAUCUAGAUCUCUGAUCCAUUUUGCAGAGGCCAGAUUCAUUUUUGUUUUUUUUUUUUUGCGUGUGGAUGUCCAGAUGUUCCAACCUAUUUGUUGAACAGACUAUCUUAGCUCCAUUGUAUCACCUGACUAUAUUUAUGGGGGUCAUUUGUGGGCUCUCUAUUCUGUUCCACUGAUCUAUUUGUCAUUCUUUCACUGGCUGGGCUACUGUCGCUUUAUAGUAAGUCUUGAGUGUCAGUCAGUUCUCCAACUUUGUUCUCCUUCAUAAUGGUCUUGGUAUUCUGCCUCCCCAUAUAAACUUUAGAAUCAGUUUGUUUAUAACCAUAAAAUAAGUUUCUGGGAUAUAGCAACUGGAUCUAUGUAUCAAGCCAGAAGAACUGACAUCUUGACAGUAUUGAGUCCUCCUAUCCAUGAACAUGGAAUAUCUGUCCAUUUAUUCAGUUCUUUGGGUUUGUUCAUCAGAGUUUGUGCUUUUUCUCAUGGAUCUUAUAUAUAUAUAUGUGUGUGUGUGUGUGUGUGUGUGUGUGUGUGUAACAACACUGUAAACAACUCUGUAAACAAAGUUUUAUGUCUUCCUUCUCAAUCUGUAUACCUUUUACUUCCUUUUCUUGCCUUAUUGCAUUAGCAAGGCCUUCCAGUACAAUGUUGAAAGGGAGUGGUGAGGGGCCUCUGGGUGGCUCAGUCAGUUAAGCAUCCAACUUUGGUUCAGGUGAUGAUCUCACAGUUCAUGAGUUUGAGCCCCACAUUGGGCUCUCUGCUGUCAGUCUGGAGCCCACUUUGAUCCUCUAUCCCCACCCCUGCCCCCACCCCUCUCUCAAAAAUGGAUAAACAUGAGAAGAGAGAGAGGGGGGUGGGUGAGAGGAACCACUUGUCCUGUUUCUUGCCUUGUACCUGAUCUUAGUGGGAAAGCUUCAAGUUUCCUACCAUUGAGUAUGUUGUUAGAUUUAAUCUAUUCUUUCAUUUGUCAAGGAUUUCUUUUUAUAAGUGAUGUGGGUUGGGAUUUAUUUUUUUUCCUCAAAUGGAUAACUACUUAAUCCACACUAGUUGCUGAACAAUUCAUCCCUUUCUUAGGAUUUGAAAUACAGUAUUUUAUCGUGUAUUAAACUCACUUAUAUACUUGGGUCUGUUUCUGAACUCCAUUCUGUUCUAUUGAUCUAUUAAUUCCCAUGUCAACAUCACACAAUUUAAAUUAUUUAAUGUCUUGAGGUCUGGCAAAGCAUGUUUUACCUCUUCAUCUUUUGGUUGUGAAUUUUCUUAGCCUUUCUUGCACUUUUAUUCUUCCAUAGGAAUUAUGGAGUCAGCUUGAAUUUAUAUAUCAUUUUGACCUUUUUGAUUUUAUAGGGCAUAGAGUUCACUUAGCCAAAUUUUUGUUUAUAUUUUCAUUAAGAAAAGUUUUAGCUUUGGUCUUCCUAUUUUUUUGCUAACGGUUGUUAUUCCUAAGUACUUGUGUCAUUGUGAAUUUUUUUUCUGUUGCAUUUUCUAAUAGGGCCUUUCUGGUGUAAAGAAAAGCCAUAGCUUUUAAAAAUGUCUUAUUAUAGGGGCGCCUGGGUGGCUCAGUCAUUUAAGUAUCCAACUCUUUGAUUUCAGUUCAGGAUACGGUCUUGUGGUUCAUGGGAUUGAGCCCCAUGUCAGGCUCUAUGCUGACAAUGUGGAGCCUGCUUGGGAUUCUCUCUCUCCGUCUCUGUCUCUGCCCCUCCCUCACAAACUCUCUCAAAAUAAAUAAACAAUUUUAAAAAUGAAAAUGAAAAUAAAAUAAAAUGUAUUAUUAUAAAAUAAAACAUAUACACAGGGAGUGCAUGAAAAAUAAAUAGGUUGCUUAAUGAAUUAUUGUAAAGCAAAUUGAAUACUGCCAGCUCUCCGUAAGUCCUCCAUAUUCCCUUUCCUUGUCAAAAACCUAUCCCUCAAUCGUAAAAUUUAAGUAGUAACCUGCCUUUUAUGGUAAUUGUCUCUUGGCUUUGUUGUAUAGUUCUUAACACUCAUGUAUGUAUCCCUAACUAGUUUUGCCAGGUUUUUAAAUUUCAUUAUCAAUAAACUCACUCAGUAUGUAUAUCUUUAUGCCUGGCUUCUUUUAUUUAACAUUCUUUUCACUUUGUUACAUGUAGCAGGAGGAGGAGGAGUUCUUUCUUUUUCAUAACUGUAUAGUAUUCCAUUAAAUUAAUAUGCCAUAAUUUAUCCAUUCUCCUGUUGGUGGGCACUUGGACCGUUUCUACUUUUAGAACAAACAGCUGCUCUGAACUUGUCCAGUCAUGUAUCCUAAUGUACAUGGCAUAUAUUUCUGUAGGGUUUUCUUCAUUUGGGUUCUCCCAAAAGCAGACUCUGAAACAAGGAUUCUAGUACAGGUCAUUUAUUUGAAUGAGGAUCCCAAAAAGCACUGGUAGAAGAGUGGAGAAGUAAGACCAAGAAGGGAAGAAACACAGCAAGUGCUGUUGUAUCAAGGACGUUCCCACAGCAGGCAACCGGGGCUCAAUCCUACUGAGUAAUUCUCUGUGUGUCCAUAGAAAACACGCCUCAGAAUCCUUCCACCUGGAAAACGAGGGUGUUGGGGUAUUUAUCUGGCAGAUCUCGUCAUUCGCUGAUUGGGAGAAGCUUGGGGGAGGCGGACAUCAAUUCCCCAGCCUUUCUGGCAUGACCUGUGUAGGGACAUAGCAGCGUCUGGCAACCAGAGAAAGCCAUCUGACAAAGCGAUAAAGUUGCUGGCGGCUGAGGGUUGGGCAUGCACGACCAUGGUGACAGCCAGCGGAGUGUACUAGCACAUGAGAGCGUCUGCAACAAGGCAGUCUAUCUAGGAGCAGAAUUUCUGGGUCAUAGGGCAUGCACGUAGUCAGCUUUAUCAGAUACUCCCAAAUAGUUUCCCAAACGAUUGUACCAAUUGACACUCCCCCAACAGCAUAGGAGAGCUCUCCUAUCCCGGCCAGCACUUGCUAUUGAGAGACUUUGACAAUUAAGCCAUUUUGGUGAGUGUGUAACAUUGUUUUUAAUUUGUAAUUUCUAGAUUACUAAUAAUUGUGUCUUUCUAAAUAUUGUUUACGUUUAUUUUUGAGAAAGAGAGAGAGAGAGAGAGACUAUGCACGCACUCACAAGUGAGAGGGGGAGGGGCAAAGAGAGAGAGAGAGUCCCAAGCAGGCUCCAUGCUGUCAGCACAGAACCCGAUACGGGGCUCAAACCCACGACCCAUGAGAUCGUGACCUGAGCUGAAAAUCAAGAGUCAGACGCUUAACCAACCGAGCCACCUAGACGCCCCUAAUGGUGCCUUUUUAUAUAAUUACUGGAAAUUUGGAUUUCUUCUUCUGUGAGUGCCUGUUCAAGUCUUUGCCUGUUUUUGUAUUGGGAUGUCUGACUUUUUCUUAUGGAUUUCUAAGAGAUUUUAUGUAUUCUGGAUUCAGACCCUUUGUCUAUCAUAUAUGUUGCAAAUAUCCAUGGCUCUCCUUUUACUUUCCCUUUCUCCCUUUUUUCCUUUUACCCUCUUAUUGGUGUCUUUUGAUAUACAGAAAUCCUUAAUUUCAAUAUGCUUCUAUUUGUAAAUCUUUUUUCUUUGAGUCUUAAGAAAUCUUUCACGUGAUUGUAAAGAUACAACCCUAUAUUACUUUUAUAAACUUUACUGGUUUGCCGUUAACAUGAAGGUCUAUGUCGACCAUGCAGAACUUAUUUUGUGUGUACGACAGGAAGGUAGAGGUUAAGAAUUAAGCCCUGCCCCAAUGCCUAUCCAGUUACCCCAGCCCCAUUAUUAGAAAGAACACACUGUCUUCAUGUUCUCCAGUGCCACUGUCAUUAAAUGACACUUGUCAUUAAAUCAAGUGUCAUUAGAUCUUGUCACUAAAUCAAAUGUCCAUGUGUGUGGAUCUGUUUGGGGGCUUUCUGUUCUGUUCCACUCAUCUAGUUCUAUACCCUUAUCCCAGUACUACACCAUGGUAGUCUUACUAAAGGUCUUGAUGGCCGAUAUAGCGAGUCUUCCUAUCUCUUUCUUUUUAUGAAGACUAGCUUGACUAUUCUUUGAUUUUUUUUGCAUUCUCAUAAAGGUUUUAGAACCAGCUUGUCAAAUCCCCCCAAAAUCGGAAAGGCAAGAAAGAAGAAAAGGAGGGAUGGAGAGAAAUCUGCUGGGAUUUUCAUUAGAGAUUUGAUUGGGUCUAUACGUCAACAUGGAGAGAAUUGAACUCUUAUCAUACUGAAUCUUCCAAUCCCUUUAUUUAGAUAUUCUUUAAUUUCUCUAACAAAGUGUAUAGUUUACUCUGUCAAAAUAUUGCAUGCCUAUUUUGAAAUUUAUUUCUACAUGCUUGAUGUUUUGAUCCUAUUAUAUAAGUGGUGGCCUUUUCCUUUUCUGUUUGUUGUGUGAUAUCGGAUUUUUGUCUACUGAUAAUUCUCAUAUUAAUUCUAAUAGUUUUAUCUGUUUAUUAUCUUGGAUUUUCUAUGUGUACACAAUCAAUCUUGAUUUUUACAUGUUCAUCUUGUACCUGAGCACCUUCCUGAAUUUUCCUAUUGGUUCUAGUAAUUUGAGUAUUGAGGUUUUUGGGUUUUCUAGGUUGAAAAAAAUCAUAUUAACUCGUAAUUAUGAGUGUUCUGUUUCUGCCUGGAGAAGCAGUACAGGGUAGCUGUUGGGUACAAGGAGUUUGGAAGCAGACCACCUGAGUUUGCAUCCCAGUCCCAUUACUCACUAGGUAACCUUAAGUAAUUUGCUCACUCCUCUGUGACUCAGUAUCAUUAUCAUUAAUCAUCAACUCUUGGGUUGAUUGUAAAAAUUAAGUGAGUUAAUACCUAGCAAAUAAUGUCUAUCAAAUAAUGAGCACUCAGCUUAUGUAGACUUCUGUCAUUUUACCAGUGUCAUUCCUUUCUAAAUUUUCACUUAUUUGUUUUUUUCUUAUUUUUAUUGCAUUGACAACUUUGCCAACAUAAUGUUGAAGAGUAGUGGUGCCUUCAUGCCUCUCCUGAAACCGAACUCUUUGGAAUAUUUCCUUCUUUUUCUUGUUGUUGUAGGCAUAAUUGUUUUCUUUUUCAUCUGUUUCACAUACAUGAAAUCAUCUUUACUUGGAUUUACGAAUCUGAUGUUUCACUCUGGAAGAGGGAGAUACUUUCCCAGAGGAUUUUUUUUUCCCCAGCCGUAUACUUCACAUAAUGAUGUGAAACAUUAGUAAUGGAAUUAUUUGUUUUUAUUUUUUUUUUUAAUUUUUUUUUCCAACGUUUAUUUAUUUUUAAGACAGAGAGAGACAGAGCAUGAACGGGGGAGGGGCAGAGAGAGAGGGAGACACAGAAUCGGAAACAGGCUCCAGGCUCUGAGCCAUCGGCCCAGAGCCCGACGCGGGGCUCGAACUCACGGAUCGCGAGAUCGUGACCUGGCUGAAGUCGGACGCCUAACCGACUGCGCCACCCAGGCGCCCCGGAAUUAUUUGUUUUUAAACAUCACUGAGAUCCUGUUGCAAAAGGAGGCAUCAACUGUCCUACCUUCUUACAGAGUCAUUGCCGUAGGCUUUCCAAAGAGGUGGUGUUUGUUAACGUACCCUCCUUUGGAUACUCCUUUGGAUGUUCGGGAUGGGCUCGGGGGUAUCCACAGCCACAUGGGGCGGCUGACCAGUUCUUUUCUAGGACAACAUAACAUUCUUGACCUUAUGUGUUCGGUUAUUUUUCUUUUCAUAAAGAGUCUAUAGAUAACGCUUUUCUGAGUCAUCAUGUAGCCAAGAAUGCCUCCCAGUAGGAAAGACCCCCUGAACUGCAGAAAUUCUAGCGUUACAGCCGUUGUGCCCAUUUUGCCCUUUAUUUCCUCCAAUGCUGUGUAUUUUUCUCCUGCAAGUUUCCAUCUCAUCUCGUCUUACUGUUUUUUAUUACACACUAUUACUUAGGGACUUCUGUUUUCUUAAUCAUUUUCCAUUCCUGUUUCAUAGAAGCCAUCUCCUUGGGCAUUGUCUUGAGAGAUACCACCCGAUUCUCUAAAAUAUUCUUGAAGUUUCUGUAAGAUGUUUUCAGAAGAAUUUCCUCUGAUUCAUUCUCAGACGAGAAAACCCCGAUCGGGCCUGAUGCGGUCGACAAAAAAGGUGUGUGUUUUCCUUACCACUCAUUUCUGGGUGUCGGUGCAUUCACCCCCUCGGCCCUGCUCUGAGUUGCCAAUCGAUGCAUCUAACCCAUCUAACCCAUCUGGACCGGCAAAGACUCGUGGCCCACACGCACCCCCGGGCUGCAUGCAGACAAGCCGGUCAAAGGGGGUAGACGCACUGCACACCGAAGCCUCCCCUUGCCCCGCGUUCACCUAGAGCACUUUUUGGAAACUGAGCCUUCCACGCUGUGGUCUACCACUGCUGGUGUUCCUCUUCCACGCCCCAGCCCUCAAUUUUUUUUUUCCUCAUUAUUUUCUGAGAGUUGCAGUUCUGCAUUAAGUAGGUAGGUGUGGCAAGCACGCUGGCCGUCUCAACAGAGACCUACCAAGACAAGGGACGGUUGCUUACAGCCGUCUUGCCGUCCUCUUGCUGAGCAGCUGGAGGACUCAGGUGCUAUUUUUUCAAUUCGGAUACUAUUUUUCAACCUAGUUCCAUCGGCCUUGUGUUUGAGGGGCAAGUGCCUCAGAAAUUGCCCUCACACAGGUUGACCGAAGUCCUAGCUUUCAGUUUGGUGAGUUUUAUCUUCUAGGUUUUUGAGAUGAUUUUAAGUGGGAAGUUAGCUGGCUCUCUUCACCAUUUUAAGCCAGACAUUUGCAUCCAGAAUUAAAUACUUGUUUUAGCAAUUCACGACUUCCUGGAUAGCUUGCAGGACAAGCAGCUAUGCCACAGAAUGAAAGAUCUUUCUUUGGGCGCCUGGGGGGCUCAGUCGUUAGGCAUCUGGCUUCGGCUCAGGUCACGGUCUCAUGGUUCGUGAGUUCAAGCCUCACUUUGGGUGAGCUCGAGCCCCGCUUUGGGUGAGCCCUGCUUCUCUCUCUCUCCCUCCUUCUCCCUCUCUCUGCCCCUCGCUCACUUAUGCCGUCUCAAAAAAAAAAAAAAAAGUCUUUGCCAGACUUCAGUAUAGGCAGAAUUAAGAACCAGAAAUUGUCAUUUCAAAGGCUGAAUGCCCCCAAAAGACUUAUUCUAAUAGGAAGAUAGGAAGUAAAAGCCCCCUGGACUAGGAGUGAGGGCAUCUGGGUUCUCAGGGCUCUGUAACGGACUAGCUGUGAUCAGUCGUGGGCUACUCGUGGCACCUCUAAACGCCUCAGACUCCUAUACCCAAAAUGAAGGAUUGGACCAAAUGGUCUCUAAUGUCCUGCCAUUCUGAGACUCGGGGAUUUUACCAGCUGUCCUGGAACAUCUGCUGUUUAGCAACCUGUCCCUCCUGCGGUCAGAGCUUCUGCUGAAAGGGAAGCAGAGACUGAAGGCACAUCCGCACUGGGUGUGCAAAGCUCCAGCCAUGGGCAGAACCUGCUGGGGGUUGUGGGGGUGGGGGCAGCAGGAGGAGCGCUGGACAGCAUGUGGUGCUGAGGUCUGUGCCCUCUUUUGGAAGAUUCGCCCUCUGGGGCCACCUGGGCCUUUUUCUGGAUCUGCCUCUACUUAAAGUUGUCAGGCAUCCAAGGGUCCUCAUUUCCCAAGUCCCCUUCAGUGACUUUGUAUUGGCGGUAAAAAUAAAGACGGGAAAUAAAAUUUGUUUUCUGCAGAGAAUGUCUGUGAGGCACGGGAACCGAGAAUAGUGGCUGGCUGGCUGCCUUUUAUUUGACAGUAAAUGGACAUCCGGGAGUUGCUGUAAGGUUUCUCAGGACCAGCCUGCUUGGAAUCCCCUCCCCGCCCCCAACACCCCAGCAAAGGCAGGGGCAGGACACAGGAGGAGCAGAGAUUUAUCAGCCGUCAGACGGGAAGAGGGUACUGCAGGGUUACCUGGAUGGCCCGGAGUUUGCCCCAUGUCGGAAGGGAAGGCUGAGGUGUGGCUCAGGCGCUCAAGGGAGACACCAAGCCUCCUGGGGCUGCUGGCACCUCUGCACUUUGGACAUGACCCCCUUCCAGCGUCUCCAGAAUGAGGGGUAUAUGCGUGUGCAUGGCCCGUGCUUUCUCGAUCCUUCUUCCUCCUCUCUCUCUCUCUCCCUCUCCCCUUUCCCUCCUGCUUCCCCAGCCCCCAGCUCAGUUUUGCUCUAAUAAGCCAGGCAGCAGCUCUGUCACUGUGUAAGCUCUUCACCCCGGAGUGCUUGGCUGUCUGGGAUGACUUGACAAAUGGUUUAGAGGUCUCUCUCGCCAGGGCUUUGUCUGCACUCACAGAAGGGAACGAAGGAAGGAUGAAACCCAACAACCAAGAUUGCCUCCAAGUCCAUCUAUGCGGUGCGCCCUCCCUGUCUCUGCUCUUGGCCUCUCCCAUGGAUGUGGGUCUGGAUGUCACUGGCCCCACUGCCAGAGUGCAUUGGCCUCUGUUCCGUGAGGGAAGACAGCUCCCAACCUGGAGACAAAGCCAUUAAGUUUCCCGUCUUAUUCAGGCCAGAGACAUUUGCAGAAACCAGAGUGAAGUGAGGGUUUGGCUCUCAGGGGCCAAGUUCACUGCACUGGCUCCCUAGUAAUCUGGCCUUUGAUAAUAAGGUCAGGAAUCGGAGAGAAGCAGGGAAAAUUGCCAAGCGUUUAACUGCAAACUAUAGCUUCCAAAUUUUAUUUAUUUUUAUUUUUUAAUGUUUAUUUUUGAGAGACAGAGAGAGAGAGAGAGAGAGAGAGAGAGAGCAAGUGGGGGAGGGGCAGAGAGAGAGGGAGACACAGAAUCCGAAGCAGGCUCCGGGCUCUGAGCUGUCAGCACAAAGCCUGACGUGGGGCUCGAAUUCACAGACUGCGAGAUCAUGACCUGAGCCAAAGUCGGAUGCUUAACCGAGCCACCCAGGUGCCCCUACAGCUUCCAAAUCUCAGACAGCACAAGGCAAUUCAAUAAUGAUUUGAAAAGAUCGAGUCCCUUGCAGCACCUCCCCCUUCAUCAAGCCCUCCCACAUCCCAGGUGGGUGAUCACUGCCCCUGUCAGGCCUGGCCCUCAGGGGCCGGCGCUUAGAGCUGGAGCCCUACGUCUUGUGUCAGACCCCCCAGCACCAUGUUCCUGUAGCAGUGUGCCAGCACAUAAUUCCUGUGCUGCCGAGGAGCCUGCACUGGCUAAGACUUAUCAGCAUUGAUGGCUUCCUAGCAUUAAAUAUGUACCAUCAGAGUAUGCAACUCCUCUAUUCUUGCUUCCCUAUUUGAAUGCAGGGGAUCUUGUCAUUGUUUUAAAAGCUCGUGAAUAUGCAGAUUCGUUCCUGAGGAAGGGCAGCCUCCCAGGACACCAUCCCCUCUUCCAUGGGCCUGCUUUUGUGUCACCCGCCAAAGGGCCCCCUCUUCAGAGCAGGAAACAGAGGGACUUUAUUUCGCUUCUCCUUACUUCAACACCCCACAGGUUUCUCUGACUGACCUACCUAUUUCGCUUAACAUAGCAGUACUCUCUAGCACCAUCUAGGUCUUGGCAAAUGGCAAGUUUUCAUUCUUUUUUAUGACUAAUAUUUCAUUGUAUAUAUGUGUAUGCACACACACACAUAUCUUAUCCAUUCUAGCCAAUGGACAGUUGGGCUCUUUCCAUAAUUUGGCCAUUGUACAUAAUUCUGCUAUAAACAUCAGGGUGCAUUUAUCCCUUUGAAUUGGUAUUUUUUUUUAAAUUUUUUUUUCAACGUUUUUAUUUAUUUUUGGGACAGAGAGAGACUGAGCAUGAACGGGGGAGGGGCAGAGAGAGAGGGAGACACAGAAUCGGAAACAGGCUCCAGGCUCCGAGCCAUCAGCCCAGAGCCCGACGCGGGGCUCGAGCUCACGGACCGCGAGAUCGUGACCUGGCUGAAGUCGGACGCUUAACCGACUGCGCCACCCAGGCGCCCCUUGAAUUGGUAUUUUUGUGGUCUUUGGGCAAACACCUCACAGUGUAGGGUAGUUCUGUUUUUAACUUCUUGAAGAACCUACUGUUCUCCAGAGUGGCUGUACCAGUUUGCACUCCCACAAACGGUGCCAAGAGGGUUCCCCUUUCUCCAUAUCCUCGCCAACCUUGUUGUUUCUUGUGUUGUUGAUUUCAGCCAUUCUGCCAGGUGUGAGGUGGUAUCUCAUCGCAGUUGGCAUGAGAUUUGCAUUUCCCUGACCAUCAGUGAUGUUGAGCAUCCUUUUGUGUGUCUGAUUUCACUUGUAUGUGGAAUUUAAGAAAUAAAACAAAUGAGCAAAGGGACAAGGUGGGGGAGGGAGGGCAAACCAAGAAACAGACUCUUAACUAGAGAACUGAUGGUCACCAGAGGGCAGGUGGGAGGGAGAUGAGUUAAAUAAGUGAUGGGGAUCAAGGAGUGCACUUGUGAUGAGCACAGGUGCAGUAUGGAAGUGGUGAAUCACUACAUUGUACCCCUGAAACUAAUAUUACACGGUACGUUAACUAGAAUUCAAAUAAAACUUUAAAAACAACCCUCGGUUUCUCAGAACUAGGUUCGAGCUAUAAAUACGAACUUUUGUAAUUGGUUUUUCCAACACAACCCAGUUGAUCUUUCCGGCACAGUGCUCUAGCCCUGGUGUGCGUGCCCUCCGUGCCGGAGAGGGGCCAUACUCCCGCUUUGCACGAGCCCUUGGAAGAGGGCAGCUUCGGGCUCUCCAACUGAAAGAUGCAGCACUUCUCCUUAGCAUAUUUUCCAAACCGGUAUACUUGGAGGUGAAGUGACCGCUGACAAAUGCACACACCGCCCCCCCCNNNNNNNNCCCCCCCCCCCCCCCCCCAUGACUUCCUCCCCACCCCCACCCCCACCCCACCCUGUGCCUUGGCAAGAUCACACUCAACUAUUGAGGGAAAGUAUUUACUGAAUGCAAGGAGAAUAUGGCGUUUCUGCAUUAUUUAUUAGGGGCUAACAAUACCCAUCAUAUGUAGAAUGUAUUUGGACAUAAAUUAGUGAUGUUAGGAAGCACCAGUGGUCCCAAACCUAUUAGGAUCUCUGACACAUAUAUGAAAACACAUCACAGUCUUACCUUUUCUACAAGGCUGGGAAUUGGCUGUGAGACAACCUCACAAUGAAAACAAAUUUCUUUAACCUUUUAUUUGCCAUUAGCCCCCUGAGCACUUCAUCUACCGUUGAGUAAAUCUUGGAAAACCAUCUCAAAUUAUGAAUUCCUAACCUUACCUUCUAACACACCUCUUCUCCUCUUUCUCUAUGAAAGUAGAAAGAAUAUUUACAUUUGUUAAGCACCUACUAUGUGCCGAGUGUCACAGCUAGCAUCUUGGUGUCUGGAGAGAUGGGCAUUGGUAUCCCCAUGUUAUGGAUUAGGUUACUGAGACUCAAGGUCAUGCAGCUGAUAACCAGGACUGUUUCAAGCUGACUCUUCUUGUCCUACAGUUGACUUUCCCUGGGCAGGAAGGCAAAGGUUUUUCUUGGCUUCUGUAUCUGUCACCACCGUAAUGCUAUGUAGCACAGAACCACAAAACCAGUGGCAUAAAGCCAUAAACAUUCGUUUUUGCUCAGGAGUCUGUGGGUCCGCUGAGCAAUUCUGCUGCUCCAAGCCACGCUUGGGUGGUCUCAGCUGGGCUCACCCAUGCACCUGCAGUCAGCUGCUGGGGCCACCAGGGUCGGUUGGCCCAGGCUUGCCUGGGCCGUCACAUGACAGCCAGGCAGAGUUCCAAGAACGUGAACAAAGCACGUGGCUUCUUGAGGCCUGGGCUCAGAACUGCCACAUUCGUUUGGCUGAAGCAAAUCAUCCGGCCAGCCCAGAUUCCCAGGAAAGGCAGGCAAACACCAUCCCGUGCUGGGAGGAGCUACAGAGUCACGUUGCAAGUGGGUACAGAGAUUGGGAAGGGAAGAAUUGGGGCCAAUUUUGCAAUUAGUCUGCCUCAGUUCCCACUGUGGGGCUGCUCUGCCCCCUUGGGGGCACCUGCUUCCCGUAAGCCUCCACUCCCCCCUCAAAGCCUGCUCUAGGAGCCUCUCCUCACUCACACUAAGGGGCAGGAUGACAGUGCUGUGGAGAAUUUAAAAUGACUCCCUUCCCAAGAGGAAGGAGGGCAGUCUGGCAGGGGUUAAGUCUUCAACUCAUCUGAUUAAGCUAAAGCAGGCGCCCUGGCAUCGGCCAGCAUGCAGAGGGGAUUCUGGGGGAGUGGGGACAGAACUUCCAGAGCUCUUGGAAACCACAUAGCUAGAUCCUUCUCCACCUACGCCUCAGAUUGUUGCUUCUUGCAGAUUCCCCUUAGGAACUGGCUCCCCCUUGCCCAGCCCCAAGCAUCGCGUUUUGCUGGUGGAGCCAGGAUGCCCCUCCUCUCCAGGAACUCAGCAGUUCACCUUCCCACCGGCCUCUGCAAGGACCUCUCUGGCCCACGUGCUUGUGGUUUCCAGGAAGGUUGGAAGGACAAAUCCAUUUCCGCAGGGCUCCAGGGCCAGCCGGGCCCACAUAGGAAGUGAUGUUGGAUGGCGGGCAGGUGCUCAGUGGACGGAGGAGGGGAAAGUAAGUGCUGGAGCAGAGGUGGCAGGCACAGCUGGGUUCCAGGAGGACAGGGACGGGCCAGGCCAGGAAGCUCAUGAGAAAGAAACGACACUUUGAGAGGAAACUGGAGAGGCAGGAGUUUAAAAAUCCUUAUCUCUGAAAGAGCAGAGAUAAGAGGAAGAAGCCAUGCACAACCUGGAGACCAAAUCAGGCCACACUUGCCCUGCUAACUCACACUCAAUGCCUUCCACCAGCAGGUAACUCAUGAGCGCCCCCUGGGACCCUCGCAAAGUGGUCCCAGAGGCCAAACUCUGAAGCUUCUAGUCUGGGAGGGAAGAGAAGCUCCUGAUUCCACUUUUCACUAGGUAUGUGGUGUAAAUAGCCCCCAAAGAGGCACCUGCCCAAUUUGGGACUUUCCAGGCAGAACGGAUUGUGUAUAUUAACACAAUUGUGUAUAUUAAGCUUGCAAAAGUUCCGUAAUUCUUCUGACCACCAGAGGGGAGAUGGACAGAUGAUGUCACUGAGAAAGGCAGCAUUUGCCUUUGGUUUGGGAAAACAAGUGGCGGAGGGAGAGGCCCGUGAAGGUUAAUCCACAGCAAAGGGGGGAAGGCCCUAGGCAGCCAUGUCCGGUCCAGUGAGCACCAGGAAAGGGAGGCACAGGGAGGCCCGGGGACCACACAGCCAGGGGAUGGCAGGGCUGGGCUUUGUACUUAGGUCAGCACGAACUGCCAAGCCCUCAUCCGUCUCUGUCUCCUCCCCCUGUCGGCUGCUCAAGAAAAAUAAAACUGUGUCUCAAGUCUUGGGAGUGUAACUCAUUUCCGUGAGACAUUUUCCUUUCCUGUCCAUUGAGGCUGGUAUACAGGAGCCCAAAGAACCUCCCAGCACAAAUUCUGUAGCAAACUGUCAGGCUGAAUUCCGCAAAGAAGAGUGUUCCGGCUCAACAGAAGGGGUUGCUUAAUAGGGGCCUGAAUUCACAGGCCAACCCCCCCCCCCCCCCACCAGGGUGAGAAGUUUCAGCUCCAGAGCAGGCGUGGCCGAAGAGUCUGGUCCGGAAUUGGGUUCCUCUUCCUUCACAGCUUCCCCAGGGACCAGGCGGGCUGGGAAGGGGUCUCUGGGCCUACGUCGUAGCUCCAGUGCUUAGUUAUGUCACCCUGAGCAAGUCCCCGAACCUUCACCAACUGUUGGAUGAGAAGCCGCACCCCCACCCCACGUUCCUCUCAAAGAUGUUGUGGCAAAGAAGUUCUGAUGGGGGUUCAGCUUUUAGCUCCAGCUCCCCACGUGGACGUCGACAGCCUCGGGCCAGACAAGAGCCCUCACGUUCCGCAGCUCAGUGAUGAAGCGCCACCUGUGGCGGAAGAUGUGCAGGUGCCAUGAACAGCUGCCACCACGGCACCUGUGGGACCCGGUGUCACGAUGAAGUGUGGUUCCAGGACGACUGUGGCCUGUGUCUGCCUCGCAGAACCGAGUUCCUCCCCCGCCCCCCGACUCUCCACGUGUAAGCGCACACACGCACACACACACAUGCACACGCAGCUGAGGUCACUCACCUGGGACACCGGGCCCUGCCAGGAAAGAAUGAAAGGGAAAACAAGCAGGCGGCAAGUGUCAGGCAGGUGGGAGCCCUGGGCCUGCCCCUACUUUGCUUCUCCCUAACAUUCGGUCUUCCCUCCCCACAGAGGCCCUGGCUUCCCACAACCCUUUAUCUCUUUGCAUGCAGAUACCAAGAGACCUUUGUCACAGGAAGGAAAAUCAGUGGUGGGUGCAAACCAACUUUUCUGUCGGGAGAAACUGUGUGGUCACUGACCUUUGUGGCACCAGGGCCCCUCCUCCACCAGGAGGAAAAGGAAAGCACAGAUGAUUCAGGGCUGUUCUUGGCCUCUUUAAUCUUUCUUUAAAUGUAUUUUGACAGAGAGAGAGAGCGGGCAUGCGCACGCACGCGAGAAAGCAAGCAUGUGGGGGAGGAGCUGAGAGAAGGAGAAAGAAUCCCAAGCAGGCCCCGUGCUGUCAGCACAGAGCCCAGCACAGGGCUCAAACCCACCAACCAUGAGAUCAUGACCUGAACCGAAAUCAAGAGUCACAACACUUGACCAACUGAGCCACCCAGGUGCCCCUUGGCUUCCUUAAUCUUCUCUAAUCCCUGGUAUUGACCCUCACCUUGUCUGACCUCCCUCUGAACACCCUCCUGAUGUGAAUCACCUCUGGCUUUGUCACCUUGCUGCGUGCCCUGACCACACACGAUGGUGCCCAUGUGACCAACCCCUGGCGUGCCCUCCACCCCCGCCUCUGCUUUUCUCCUAGAGGAGGGAGAAGCAGCAGACCCAAGUGGUCUGCAGGAGCCUGGGCUAACCUCAGACCUUCCAGAAAUAUGAGACUCAACCCGCCCUCACCGCUGAUGAACACCUGCUGUUGGGUUUCUGACACAUUCCUGGGUCAUAGGGAGCUACGUGGCUUGUUCCUAGCUGUUUAGAAAUGGGUAUUUGACCACAGUGUAAUAUGUUCACACCAAAGCCAUUCACACUCGACUUGUGCCUGUGGGGAUAGCUGGCUUCGCACCUCAUACCAGCUUCCAGGCAUCAUUUGGGCUUAGAUUUUCAAAACAGGUGUUCUCCCUCUUGUUUUUAGUUCCCUUCAGCUGCAGAUCAACCGCUUUUGUAAGAAUCGUGGGGUGAAUGCUGUCAGUGGUGUUUUUGUUAUUUCCGUAACUGUCGGGGGUGGAAAGCAAACCUGCCUCUUGGAACCGUGAAGAAGUAAAAAACUUACGGCACCAAAACAGAAGUGUGGGGUGCCAGCUGCCAGGUGUAGGGACUCUGAGCCGGUUAUGUGCCUACUGCCUCGGUAUUUGGGGCUUUUGGACUUGCCGUACCUUUGCAGACCGCACGCUGCAUCUUUGCGUUGGUUGGUGUGAACCCGGUGGAUUUAGAAAGAUGCUGGAAAGGGACACACAGGAUCUGUCGGUCUGUUCUUUCUCUGCGUUUGCUGAACGUUGUGCCUUGAACAUCUUUCUCUUAAAGUGGGGGAUCUGAAGUGACAGUGUAGUCAAGCAUGCUGGCUCCCCGUGUCGCGGAGGCGUCCAAGGAGGUUUAUAAAAGCACAGAUUCCAGUACCCUGCCCCACACAGUGAAAAUCAGAAUCUCUGAGGGUGGGGCCCCAGAGACCGCCCUGCAAACAGAUCCCCCCCUUAUGGGCCAGUGUCACGGAUGCUGUUUCGGUACAGGAGAAAGACGGAGAGCCGGAAGACAGGAUUACCCUGGGUUUGGAGCAGACUUGGAAUGGUACCUACCCCAAACCUAUCGCUCACCCCCUCUAGGCCUCAAUUUUCUUCAUUUUAAAAUGAAAAUAGAGGCGCCUGGGUGGCUCAGUCGGUUAAACGUCUGACUUCGGCUCAGGUCAUGAUCUCGCGGUCCGUGAGUUCGAGCCCCACACUGGGCUCUGUGCUGACGGCUCAGAGCCUGGAGCCUGUUUCAGAUUCUGUGUCUCCCUCUCUCUCUGACCCUCCCCUGUUCAUGCUCUCUGUCUCAAAAAAUAAAUAAACGUUAAAAAAAAUUAAAAUGAAAAUAAUUCUGCCAGUUUACUUGCCUCAGGAUUCCUGAGAGGGGGGGUGGGAAGGGAGCCCUUGUACAAUGCUCUCCUGGGCCUCUGCAGAGGUCAGCGUCACUACAUCCACUGGAUGAGGAACGUUCUGAUAGGUGAAGCAGUCUUCCGAGGUCCCAAGUCCCUGUAGGUGAAGAAGCCCGGCUUUGAAUCCAGGUAUGUCUGGUUCCAGACCUUUCCUUCCCAUCAAGGUGCUCCUCUGAGAUUUUAGAGAUCAGGCGUAUGCUUAGCGGUCGGCUGAGGCAUGUGAACCAGCAGCAUUUGCCUGGGAGCUCAUUAGAAAUGCAGGUUCUCAGGCCCCACCCCAGGCUGACUGCAUCAGAAUGUGCAUUUUAGCAAGCUCUCCAGUGAUUCCUGGGCACCUUAAGGUUGAGAAGCACUGUUGAGGAAGACUUGGGAUUGGACAAGAGAGAGUAAGUCUGAAGAUCACAGUGUGGUAAACAAAAAUGCUCACAGGGAUGAGCAAGGAGGCCGCCUUUACUAGGAGGCUCCCGUGAGGAGUGAACAGGCGUGGACCAUUUCAGCCUUUCUGUCUGAGCUUCUGUUACCAGGGAAGUAUGCCUUAUCUAAGAAAGUCUGGGCCUCCAGGAGAAUGGGUUUUAAGAUGGACACAAAUUGUUUUUAUAGGUGUGUGUAUAUUUAAUUUUCAAAGAUAAUAGGAUUACUUCUAUUUUAAAAAAGAAAGACGAAAAAAUCAGGAAGAAAGCGUUUAGCGAAGUGUCAUCACUUUUCAUGCAUUUCAGAAGUGACUCCUUUAUAGCAGAUAGUACCCACCAGGGAGGAUGGUCAGUUGGGGGGGGGGGGGGAGGGUGUGCUCAGGGUCCUGAAGAUCUUCUCUAUACAUGCUGGUCCUUAGGUUACAUCCUAAGACCCAUCGAAGGAGGGUCCCCUGAUACUCACACUGUAGCGGCUCCCCAGCACAAGAUGCUCCCUGCAGAAGGCAAUGCCCUGACCCAGGGCUCAGAAGCGAAACUGGCAAACCUGGGCUUUGAGGAAUGUGGGAAAACCUCCAUGCAGCCUCCGAAGCUGCUAGCUUUGGGGGAGUGUCAGUCCAGUACACAGAAAUUCUCAACCUGGGCCAGAUCUCACGUUUCAAUUCCUGAUUUGUAUUCACUGUGUUGUUUACCCCUUACAAGUCACUUUUCUGAGACCAAGUCCAUCUGUGAAAUGCACAAAUCCCCCGGAAGUGUCUGGGCACCAUGUGUCAUUGGCGUGCCGACCAUUCAUUUACACCCAUGGCUCCAAAAAGAGCCAGUCGGGAAGAUUACGCAGACUUGCUCCCUGCCUUCUAGGAAGUUGUAUAGGGUAAGGCAGACAGGGUGACAUACGUUAAUGUCCCCCUAAGUCUGGGCUGCUUGACACCCUCAGCCCUGGUCUUUUUGUACUUGCUUCACUUCAAACUACCCAAAGUGGAGUGGGCCAAACCAACUUCUCUUGUUUCAGUCUUUCCCUCCUUGUUGUGUUGUUGUUUUGUGUUUCCUUAGUUUUUCAAAAGGCUGCAGGAAUGGGGAUGGUACUCCCAUUCUGUUACUUCUAAUUUCGUUAACAAUUUUUUGAAUCACGUGAGUAGAAGCUUUGAGGUUGAGAAAUUACGCACUUUCAAGUUUUGAUUCCAGAAAGUCAUGUCAGCUCAGCUGUAAACACUUCUAGAAGCUGAAUCUGAAAGAGGAACUGCCUGCCCAGGCUUCCCCUGGGGAGCUGGAGGCAUCGCCCCCUUCACGGUGCCUGAUUUCCAGAGAUCAGGAAGUUUAAGGGUGUGCCGGGAGGCAGGGGGUAAAAAAGAAAGCAACUGCAGUUGGUUUAAAACCACACAGUGCAGAACAGUCCUGGCGUUCUCUCGUUCCUCCCUUCUGCCACUAACUGGUGCCUUCCAUCACCGGGAGAUGAACCGGGAAGGCUGGUUAUUGACAGCUGGGCAAUUUGCACAAUAAAGUUUAACGGCUUACAUCCCCUCGUAGGACUCUGUCAAUGUUUUCAACGGAUCAUCUUCUCAGGUGCUGGUUCUCACGCUCGUACUGACUCGCUCCUUCUUCUCUUUCCCUUCAAGCGUGCAAACGCAAAGAGCAAGAACCAAACAAAGACAGGAACAAUUCCCAGAAGAAAUCGCGCCUGGUGUUCACCGACCUCCAACGCCGAACGCUCUUCGCCAUCUUCAAGGAGAACAAACGCCCGUCCAAAGAGAUGCAGAUCACCAUUUCCCAGCAGCUGGGCCUGGAGCUGACGACCGUCAGUAACUUCUUCAUGAACGCCCGGCGCCGCAGCCUGGAGAAGUGGCAGGAUGAUCUGAGCACAGGGGCCUCCUCGUCCACCUCCAGCACUUGUACCAAAGCGUGAUGGAAGGACUCUCGGGCGGGCACAGGUCGCCUCCGGAUGAGGACAACCGACACCAAAAGAGAACGCAAAGGAAAAAGACACCGGAUUCUUAGCUGGGGCCCUUCACUGGUGAUUUGAAAGCACAAUUCUCUCGAAAAGAAACUAUUCUAGCUGUAAUCAUAGGCCAGGUGUUCUUUUUUUGUUUUCUUUUGUAAUGGCGAUGGAGUCCAAGUGCAAGCUGAAAAUUCAUCUCUUUGAACCGGACAUUGUCCUCCGAGCAUGCUAAGCGUCCCAGAAACCCAAAUGGGGCCUUCCUGGAGCGAGUUAGUUUCAGUGUGGUGUCAGCCAAGCUCAGGAUCACUUCCAGUGUCAACGAUCUCGCUUUGGGGCCCGUUUCAGUCAGGGUUCCCCCGUGUCACAGUGGGAAUUCGGCCUGUGGAAGGAUUCUGAGAUUGGGCUCCCAAGACGCUACUAUGAGAGAUUCUUCUGGCAACAAGAAUGACCUCAUUUGCUUUCUGAGUGCUUGGCCUCAUCACACCACAGUACACCAAAGUUCACAGCCAUAACAUAGAAAAAAAAAAAAAAAAGGCAAAAAACCCCCAAAACAUCAGAAUGAUAAUUACUGAGCACAACUUUUAAAUAUGGAAAUUAAAAAAAAAAAAUCCAAGGACCUGUUUUUCCAACUCAGGCAUCGUUCCAUUGAAUGGUUUAGAGAGCUUUAAGUUGAUCCAGUUUACAAUUUUCUUUUCCUUACCUCCUGGAAAUCUCACGUGGUCUUGGAUCCAUCAAAAAAAAAAAAAUCAGUUCUCUCGAGCUCAACGUAUCAAGCACAACGUAGAUAAACAGAGAAGUAAGGAAGGUUCUGGAUUCACCACAUCUGGAUUUUCAAGACGCUGAUUGUGAAGUCAUGAGGGAACCGUUGGGAAUAUGGCUUCAAGCACAUUUUGCAGUUUGCUACAAAUUCUGUUUGUACAUAAUGCAGACACGCACACUCAGGAGGCCAAUUUAACUGUUACGGUACAUGGAGCAAAUGCAGCAUUUUAAAAGAUCUAGAUUUUUUUAGAUCAUUAAUGUUCCUUCUUAGUUAUCAGUCACCUGGUUCCUCCUAUUGUGCAUUGUAACCACCACGUAAUUCAUUCUCACUCUUUCAGACUUCAGUUAUUUCCACAUCCAUCCCAUUGGUAGGGACGUUUUUCAGUGUUUUCUAGCAAGAAAAAAAAAAAGAAGUAAUUCAAACCACCGUACGUGUUACUCAUGAGGGUCAUCUAGUCCCAAACCUCUUCCAUUGUCGAAUCAUCCUCGCAAAACAGCUGAGUAAAUCUGGAGAAAACACAGCACACCAAAGAAGCAGAAUACUGCAAACCAAAGACAUUUAUUACUUGCCAUUUUCUAGCCUAAAAAUACUGUGAUUACUUUUAGAAAUCAGAAAACCUCUGCGACUCCGAAUGGCAUUCAGCUCUUGCAUCUGGCUCACCAUCGGGCUCAGCGAAGCGGCUAGCCAAGCCACCCAGGGAGCGGCUUUGCCGAGCCAGCUCUGGUUCCCGGCUGUCACCUUCCCAUAGCGAGGGGAAGAGCGCCCACAGAACUCUGGGAGAUUGCGAAGGUCACGAUGUGCAUACUUACCAGUGAAUGGCCCCAGGGGGGCACCAUGGGGGUGUUCAAAGCAAGCCAAACGCUGCAAUGAUUCUUUACAGACACUUGAGACUGACUUUUUUAUGAAUUACUUAAUCGAAACCAAAGAAACUUUUUCUGCACCUACUUCUGCAACAAACAAGACUGUUCCAUUAAAAUGAAUAAAUAAAUAAAUACGUAAAUCAAUGAAAAUCACCACCACCAAGAAGGAAGCACGCCAGAAAAAAAACAAAAACAAAAACAAAAAAAAAAGAGCGAGACACACUGUGUUUAAACAGACCUCUUGGGACAUUUUUUGGAAGCAGAUUGUAAAGAAAGGGUUGAGACAAGAACAGAUCUAAGGAAAAGCCUCAGCGGCUGCUGCUUCAUUUGACAACUCACGCGGUAAUCUUAAAGUUGAAGAUUGUCUUUAAUUUGUGCCUAUGCAGUUUUUCAAAAGAACACGGAACAGAGCAACAGAAACCUCAACAGCUACAAUACCAAAGAUGAGGAUUUCUCACAUCUUUUGUUUCAAUUCAUUAUCUCCUCUUGUCUGGCUAAAAUACUAAUAGCGUCAUUGAUCUGUGUAAAGGUAAUCAAUUUUGUUUCUGAGCAACAAAAGGAAAGGGUCAUUGAUUUGAUUUGAUUGUUUCCCUUUAAUUUUGUUUUAUGGCUUUUCUACCCCAACAUGGAAUCUCUCAAAAGCUUCCAUGGACUCCAAGUUUAAGAUGUUGGGAUACUGAACUAUUCUCUCUACUCCUCAGAGUACGGGGAAUAAUGUCACUUGAAUGUUCUUUGCUUAUCCCUUAGACUUGGCUCCUUCUAUGUUCAGAGUCUCAGCAUCAGGGGAGGGAAGGGGAGUGAGGGUCAGGGUUAGGGGUCUUGGUGACACAUCCUCUCCUGAACCACAGAACCAAAGAGUUUAUAGAGGAAUCAACAGCCUCAUGUUCAUGUGAUUGCUACAUCAUAAUGGCUUCAUUUGGGGGUGGGGGGAAACAUGUAAAAAUAAUUGCCAGUUUCUACUUUUCUAUUAGCUUUUUAAAAAUCAGCUGUAAAGUUGCAUUUCUAAAGAAAGAUAUAUAUAUAUAAUAUAUGAAUACAUAUAUAGAUUCAACUUGACAUUUGGUGAUAACCCAAAAUUAUUGCCGUCCAAAUCCAUGUCUUGUUUUGGUCAAGUGCUUCAUUUAUUAAGCAUUCGGUUCAGAAUUUUGCUCAUCUCUCAUGACAUCCCAGAGUCCAUCUUCCACUGUGGGUGAUUUGGAGUAUUCAGAUUUCUGUGGAAAUUCCCAGGAAGGGUUGAAAGUCCAAUUCAAGCAUUUCAACAUUUAACCUGUUGAUCAAUGGAUUCAUGGUGCAAAUGAGUUUUACUUGUACUUGGGGUCGUCUCUAUUCUACGCCUCAACCACGAUCAAGGUGGCGAGUGAGGUCUGUCCGUGAGACCCGGUGCGCAAGUGGGGCAGGGCCAGUGGGGCGCUCAUCUUCUGUAACUGCUGGGAAGGCUCAGUGGGCCAUUCCCACUGGCUAUGGAGAUGAGGCCAGCCCAGAAAUCUGUUCUCCAGGAGCUACUCUGUCCCGUCAGGGUGUUCCAGAUCCCCUCAGUGAGCAGAUUCACCAAAGGGAAUUCUCAAAGGGGAGGUCCAACUCCUGUUGCAAUGGGUUGAUCAGUUUCCUCAGGGUGGUAAUUACCAAUUUGUAUUGACAAGCCUGUGUGCAACCACAGCGGGCGCUGGAGUGAGGCAGUGGUGCUGACUGGGGGCUUGUCUUGAUCCCGGAGAGAAAAUGCAAAGCAGGGUGCAGGGAGGAUCCCAGAGUCCUGCCCCUGGGAGCCCCACCGUCCGUUGUGCCACCUCCUUGCUCCCGCCAUGUGAGUCUCCCUUUGCAGGGGCAGCCGCCACGGAGCCGUGAAGGAACGCGACCCUCCAAGGCUUUUGUACUUCCUCCUACCUCGGAUGUUCCGGGACUUUCCCCUGUAUCCUUUUGUCUCUUGCUCAUACCCCAUUUCCCCUUUGUCAAAUGACCUAGGAAAGAGUGUAUUUCAGCAGGGGAAUGCUCCGUAUGGGUUGAGAAAAAUGAAUUUCAACUUGGCUAUUUCUGAAUGAAAUCCUUGUGACUUGCGGCCAACGUUCUGGAGACUGGAUUGGGGACCAAGCCUGCUCGGUUUGGUUAGUGAUCCUUGGCAGGCUAACCUCACUGUUUGGGUUCUGGCAUCCUCUGAAGAGGUCAAGACCAAAAGAGGCUGCCUCUGAGGCCUGAGAUUUCCAUACUGGUAAAAUCUGGUGUAGCCACAUACACCCCCUCAGUGUUCCUGGUGACCUGAGGAAGAUGUCAUCAUGUAAAAAAGGCAAGAACUUCCCUCCAAGGACUUCUGUUAAGUGUCCCCUACUGGAUAAUGUCAUACCGGAGAGAAGCGCUUGCCUUAAGAAACGAGUUACAUACAUAUAUAAAUACAUGAGCGUAUUCAUAUAUUUAUGUAUCAAAAUUUUAAGCCCGACAGAAUUUCAACUUGUAAAAGUUCUGAAAGAAAAAAAAAAAAAACAACCCUGCUAAUUGAAAGGUAAUGGAAUUUGACUCAGUGGGUUUCCUCAAGCAUUUUAAAAUUUACUUUAAGUUAAUGAUCUCAGAGAACAUAACCAUUUGGGCUUGGACUUCUACUUUAGCGUCUGUUUCUUCAAGACAAGAAAAAUUCCAAGCAUGCCUCAGCCAUUAGCAACAAAGGGGACAGUAUGAAGGGACAGUUCUGAACCAAAAUUCACAUUCUUGAGGCAACAGAAACCUAAAGGCUAUUGAGUGGAAAACUACUUUUCUUUAUUCCUGUAGGGAAAUUGGCUCACUCUUUUGUUUUUAACGUGAUUUUGGUACUGGGGAUAUAAGUCUUUCAUUUCAGGGAAUUGUUUAACAGAGCCAGCUCAUUUCUUUCUUAAAGGAAAACAGCAACAACAAUAAAAGCUCAACCCUGAUAUUUAAAGACUUUUCCAAAAUGUAAAAUGGUAGGUUGUACCCCUUGAAGGUAGAGGAGAGAAAAAGAAAUGAAGGACCCAGCAUGACUCUGUCUCCGGAUACAUCAGAGCAUCACCUCUGCGUUUUUUCCCACAGGCUCUUGGCAAUUGUGGGCUUAGGGAAUUUAAGCAAUUUUUCAUUCUAGCUAAAAGGAAAUCAAAACUAGGAAGGUAAACCUGACUCUCUCUCACACACACACACACACACACACAUAUAUAUAUUCAUAUUCAUUUUUGUAAUUCCAACAGUGUAUUUCAAAGCCAAAUAUAAUCAAUCACUUAAGCUUACCUAUGCCAGGCACCUACCUUUUAAUGCCAAUCCAUUAAAGCUGAACAAAUAUUUAAAAAAAUCACUACCACCCGGUACAGGCGGGGACACUUUCCCACUUUUGAAAAUGCUGGCAGAAUUACUGAAGUGUCUGAUUACCAUUACCAAAGUGUCAUAAGAAUAUACCUUGGUGGUGAACUCUGAUUUUCAGGAGGUUGUACAGUAGGAAUUUUUAAAAAUAUAAAAAGAACAGCCUGAGCCCCAAUAUUGUUGAAGAAUAAUGGACUAUAUUAAAAAGCAGAGAAAAAGAGAUGAUCAUGUGGUUAAGGUCGACCCGAAGGCCCCAACAUGAAUACUGUGAAAAUAACAGUCAUGAUUCUUAACGGAUCAGAGAUGGUUUUUUGUUGUUGUUGCUGCUGAUGCUGUGUGAUUCAGACCUGUUAGCCUAACCGGGGGGAGUGAGUACGCAAUGAUAGAUGGAGGUGGUGUGCCUAGAACUUUCUAAUAUUCACGUGCAAGACUGGUAGCUUCAUAAUUUUGUACACUUAGCUAAGACCAAGUCACCUGUAAAAACAACAGGAGAUUCUAGCUUUCAAGUAAGGCCACAAAAUCCUUCCUAAAGGAAGAAGUCCCAUAAAUUAAUGACAUUGGCUUUAAAUAAGGACGUUCCAAAGCUUAUUUUCCAUCCAUGAUUUAUUUCCUUCCAAGGGGGGGGGGGUAGGGAGGGGUGGUUGUUUUAGAAAGCCUCAGAAUGUGUUAUAAAAUACAAAAAUAAUUAUUAAAAUAAUAUAAGGCCUUACAUAUGGGUAGACACAAAGCCUGUAAUUGAGGCCGAUGGGCUAUCGCAUGAAUCCCACCGGGACCAGAAAGGCUCAUGGUUCUCAGAUACCAAAAUGACUCUGACAGUCUGAGGCAAGUUAAAGCUACAACCCCAGAAUUCCUUAUAGGGUUUUGAAUUUGGUUGACUGGAAUUAAUCAGCUAAGACCUUUGUAGCAGAGAAAAUGUGUAUAGGAAAAAACAGAUUGCUACAGGGGUGUUCAUUCCAUGGAAGCCUUCCAUUUCACAGACACUUCACAGAACAUAAACCUUGGUAGAUCAGUUUGCCUAAAGCUUAUACAGUCCGUCGGCGUGGAUGUAUACGGAUUUAGGGAUGUCUCUCGACAUCCCUAUGUAUCCCCGUAGCAGCACAUAUUACCUGUGGGUGUCCAUACUGUGCAGACAUGUGUGCACAGACAUCUCCAUACAUAGCUUCUGUCAUCUGUUACAAUAAAUGAAUUUAAGUGAUCAUUUAACAUCUACGUGAGCCUUCUACGAUGUACCUUGCUGUAUUUAUUAUAACGUUGAAAAAAACUGAAGUGCAGGAAAGAAAAGUAUCCCAGCAUCCUCGUGGUGUACACUCGGAAUUACUUUCAUUUGGGCACAUCCAAGAUAAACUCAACUUUCAAGAAACCUUGGAUAUUGUUUAAUCAUCUGAGGAAGAAUGACACAUAUGCUUGAUGACUUCGGUUGAAUAGCUUUAUUCUGGAUCUCUCAUAACUACGGCUAAAUCCAAAGACCUGGAAAAAGACAAGAAAGAAAAAAAAAAGAAAAAAAAAACAAAAAGAAAAAAAAUAGCAAAACAAAGUGCAAACUAAUAGGAGAAAAAUGAGCUCUGGUUUCCAGGGUUGAGACAAUGUGCUGUGGUGUUGUGGGGGCUGCACCAGCUACAGGGGGAAAGCGGGGAUUUUUUUCUUUGUGCUUGUCACAUCUCAGUGGUCUUUAUGAACAUGAGAAAGCUUGAGAGGUUAUGAUUUCCUGCUUUAUUUUCAUUUAGACUUUCGAAAGAGGCUAUACAUUUUGUCCAUCAAGAGAAUGAAGACAGUUAAAAGAAACUUUUUUCUCCCCCUUGUCUCUUUGGGUUAUGACCCAACAAGCUAUGUACCAUUCAUGUAAUUAAUUUAUUUAAAUUAGUUUCUAGCACACAAACGUGUAGGAUUUGGGUAAUUAUUUAAUCGUCUUACUUUGAUUUUACUCCUUGUACUUAUUUAUCAAACUAUAGACCAACGGUGCAUCAGAGAUGCAAGCUUUCAUUUAGAAUUCUCUUGAAAGGUAGUUUGCUUUAUAAAGCAGUGAAAUUCUGUUACAGACAGGGAAGAAAUACAGGUUACCAAAAAAAAAGGAAAGAAAGAAAAAAAAAAUCAAGGUAUUUUUCCUUCUUGAAUUAACUCUGGAAAUAGUUUAAAUAGUGAUUAUUAAAUUAUUUAAUUUAAGUUUGCAGCCCCACCUGGUAGCAGGCAAACUUCACCUUUUAAUUAUUGGGGCCCUCAGAGCCUUCCUAUCGUAACUUAUUUAUUUAACUUAUUCAGCAUCUACAAAAGGUGCGCCGUAUAGUUUAUAUUUUUUAUUUAAAACAAUAGAGAGCACUGCAGCUUGUUUGCUGUCAGAACAACAGAGCAAAGUGUGUGGACAAGCAGAUGACUAUUCAACCCGAACCUGUACAUUCAGACCCUGCUUCACCAGCCUGGAUUUCAGGGCGGCUUCACAGAAACUGGAAAAAAUAAAUUGAAAAGGUCGUAACAGCAAAAAGAGAGAAAACCCUUACACUAGCUGCUUCCAAGAAUGAACUCUGUGUGUGUGUGUGUGUGUGUAAAACAACAAAACAAAAAAGGGAAAAAAAAAAGCAGAAAAAAAAGGAAAAAAAAAAGGAAAAACUUUCUAUUUCUAGUGAGAACCAAAGAAGGCUACCUCACUGACUUUUUCCAUUUGUAAUUUUAAUCGUGUUGAAGACACCAAAGAUACCAAAGAUUUCUUUCUCUGUGCGGUCUGCAUUUUGCUUGUGCUCUUUUAUAAUUUUAACUAUUCUCUCUGACAUAUGGUAUUUACAGCGGCUCAGAUACCCCAAAGAAAUAAUUAUCUAUGUGACGGUGGCUGCUAAUUUGGAAAGGGAUAUUUUCUGUGUUUCUCUCAUUUGUUCGCUGUCCCCUGCACAUGUUCAGAUGCUGCUGUAAUUGGAUUCCUUAAAUCCCAGUUUCAAAUUGGUGAAGAAGGCUGGAUGGAAGUGGCCUUCAGUGCUAGCCACGACCUCUGUCCCCGCUUUGGAGCUGUCACAGUAAAGAUUUCUAAUUCCUGAACCAUAGAAAUUCUAAUCAUUGAGGGGAAGAGCUGGAAGGGACCUUAGAAAUCACGUGGUCCAACCCCCAGGGGCCUGGAGGAGUGAAAUAUUUACCCAAGUCCAACAGCUGUCUGGAGGCAAAGCCCAGACGGGCCUCCCGCCCUCCUGUUCCAGAGCUGCACCCCCGGCUCAGUGCCACCUCUGCAUGAGACGGGCCACAUGGCAGCAGAGAGGAAGGUGGCAAUCCCGUAGCCACGAGCGGAGCCUGGGGCUUGUCACUUAAUGUUUUCACGCUGUGGAAGAAGCCACAGGUAUUACAGCGUUUGUCCAGUUAAAAUCUCAACGUGACGUCACCUAUGAUCAGUCGCUUGUAAAGGUGGUCGGUCUUGCGAUAUUAAAGCUCACAGAGGGGUUUUCACCCUGGCAGUGUGCGUUGAUCCGGGUGACCACCGUUGAACCUCUGCGUUACAAAAUGUUGUAUAUAUAAGCAUUGAAUUCAGCGAGAAGAGAAAGUUCAUUCUUGGUCUGCUGAGUUUAAUGAUUAUGGAUAUUUUUAGGUCAUAUUUAUCAGGAAAGGGAAUUUGAGCAGUACACGUGUGACACGGAAGGGGUUCGGCUUUUGGCCUCUUCCUCUUGAUUUGUAGGUGUGUAUACUUUGUUUCUAGGCCAGCUCUGUAUUUCUGAGAAGUUUAAGCCUCACAUCCUUGGAUCCUUAAGGAUUAUUCAUUGUAAAUGAAAGAUGACCCUAAAAGUUCACAGGAAUAGACAGGCCACUUUAAGAAACAAUUGACUUGAAGUUGCUUCUCUCUUCCCUUCUUACUCAUAAAAUGAAUUGGUCUUUUUAAAUUUUCUUUUGGGUCCAUUCAAUGAUUAAAUCACCAUUAAGAUCCAUUCAUCAGAGUGAUUUGUAUGUUAGCCAAUGAAUCAUUCGCAGCUUUUGACCAAAUGGGUUUUAGACAUAGGCAAAGAUCCCCCUCUAGUCUUUAUGGCUCUUUAUUGAGUACUAGUAUUUCCCACUUCACAUAAUAGAGUUAUCUUUGAGCUUUUAAAAAGACCACUAGGCAAAGAAGCUAAGAAGGGAAAAGACCGAUCGGCUCAUGUGUCCCAUGCAUCAAAAGACUGUAGCUAGUAGAAAGCAGACUGGCAGGCUAGGAGCCGCUUACCCCUUUCUGCAGUUUCCAAUACAGAUCUAUUCGAAAGUCCUCUCCCGUCCAGACAAGCUCCAAGCUCCAUCUUCCCCCAUACAAGGCAAACUCGUAAGGCCUUCCUUCCAUUUGGUUUUCUUCCCCAAUUCCUAUUAAAAAUAGAAUCCUCAGAAUACCGGGGAGACCUAAGAAAGAAGAUCCGACGGUUGAGCAAGGGUGCUCCCCUAGAAGCAAACACCUUCUUCCCCAGCCUUCCUACCACCAAACCCCACAAGAGGGAACCUAGAGAGAGCGACUGCAGCCUGAACACAGAAAACAUCCCUCGAUUGGCAGACCCCUCCUCAGCAACACCCCCGCCCCCGCCCCCAACCCCAGCCUCAUUCUUCACUUGCAAAGUGUGACAUAACCACGGGACGAGUGCCUUGCUUGAACCAAAGCAACGAUUUAGCCAGUCUGGACCUCUCUGUGCUUUUUUUAAUCCUUCCUGUGAAUACCUCAGCUUCAACUGGGCCUCCAUACGGUAAAUUGGUGGGCUUAUUGUACUGUGGUGCUUUGCAACGCAACCCUGCAAAGAACACGAUUUGUACUAAUACCAAAGGUUCUUUCUCUCUGUCUCCUCCUUCUGCCUCCCCCGUUCUUGUCCCUUUUCUAGUCCUUCAUGGUUCCAAAGCUUUACUAUGAACCUGGGCAUGUUGGCAAUGCAGACCGCGCAAUUCCUUACCGAAUUUUCUCAGAUAUACCUCAUAGAUAAUAGUGUUUAGAGUAAUGUUAUUAUAGCGUAUGUAAUAAAUUAUUCACUGUUUCUUUUGGUAACUGUGAUUUAAAAAAAGAAAAAAAGAAAAAAAAGCUUUAUACGUUUUAGGUUGUGCUUUUGUAAUAGACAAAAAGGUGCGCUUAAAAAAAAUGUAUGUUCUUUUUUGUUCCCCCUUUGGAUUUUAUUUAUUCUGGAUUGGGGAAAGUUGCAGAAUGAGCCCAAAGUUUACAGUUUCAUAUUUUGCUGAAGAAACAAUCUGUGUUCAUUUGCUCUGUUGAAAAAAAAAAUUAUUUUCUACAUUUGUGCUACUUGGUCUGAACAAUUAAUUGUUCUGUGUUAACAGUGUAGUAUUAUAAUUAGCAACUGCCAAUCAGUGCUAUAAUUUUAUGCAUGAGGCUAAAACUUUAGCAGUGUGAUGCAUUGUGGUCUUAAUAGCAACAUUUUUCAUUUUGAACUAGAUCUUCCCCUUUGGUUCAAUGGACUUUUUUUAUGCAUGGGCGCCCAUCGUUUGUUAGCAAUUGUGGAACAGUUGUGUAUACAUUAAACUGUGAAAAUGUACACAGUUCAGCCUCAGACAUUGGUAAUAUUGCUUUUAUUGGGAGAUGUCUCACCUCAAAAAUACACUUACAUCUGUUGGGAUUUCAAAAUGAGUCAGAUGGAAUCAAGUUCCAAUUUUGCGAGAAAGGUCAUUCCAAGUUUGAGUUACCAACUUGCAUUCCACAAAUUGGGAUCCUCAUGACCCAGCAGUAUCACUGUAUUUGAGAGGGGUCUGGAAACAAGCGCUGAAAAACAACUCUGCAUUUUUAAUGUCCUCGGAAAGGAGUCACUUUGGCUUUAUGUUCAUGACCUCGGACCUAACUGGCCUGUGUAUUUGGAGAUGUGAAUUCAUCCAGCCCUCGCCUCUCCUAGAUCUCUGCCUGGGAAUGGCCACUUUCUGCUUGGUUUCUUCUGGUAUUUUGUGGUCAGGUCAGUUCUCAGUAGCAACUCAAAUGGAGUCAAUAUCGGCAAUUACUCUCUGGCUUUGUUGUCCAUUCUCCCGGACAACCCCACCAACUGUUCCAGUGAUUUAGGCCAAAAUGGCCAUUUCUCAAAACACCACCUGUGCAGCCAAAUCAUGCUUCUUGCUCCCAAGAGUCAGAGGUGACUCUGUUUCCUGCCCAACAAUUUUAUGUUUGUCCUAAAGGGAGUAUAAGAAGUUUUGAAACACAGUUUUGGGAAACCAUCUUGGUUUAAACUCCCCAAUUAUCUGAGGCCGCUGUAUCUCAAAAAGUAUUUUACAGUUGCAGUGGGUCGGGCAGACUUGUUCUUCCUUACAUUUGGGGUCUGAAACUCAUUCUCAAGUUUCAUACCUAUUUCCCAAAUCAGUAUGCUUGACAUAAAGCCAAACCAACUGCCAAGCACACUUUAUUCUGCGUAGGAGAGUGCAGUUAGGGAAACAGUGGUGGGAAAACAGCCAUCUGCUAUGCAAAAUAUCGGAAAUCACCAACAGUGGAACAUUCCUAUUAUUGGUCAACGAGAAUUUGGGGGAACGCGCUUUCAUCACCAAUAGAAACAAGCAUAUUUUUUAUUUGGCCUUAUAAAGUAGCUUGUGAUAAUAAAAGCUUUGUAAUAUAUAGUCUUUUUAAUUUUUUCCCCGUAUUAAUUUGCCAAAGAUGGGAAUGGAUAGAAGAAUUUUCAGUUGGCUUUUGUAAGACAGUUAAUGAUUGUAAUAGUGUUCAACCUUCCAGAAAGCUUUAUAUGUUCUUCUGCAAUAAACCGAAUCAAUUGUUUGUUUCAGUGAAGUUCUCCUCACAUGCGCAAACCCACAGAUAUCUUGGUGCAGAUUUUGUAACAUCUACAAAGUUCAAAUGCAUUUUCGAUCCAAAGUAAACAGAGGAGUGUCUGAGACAUGAGCGUGCCCAGCCCUUUGUAUUACAAGCAACGCAUGGGUCUUGCUCACUAGGAUUUGCCAAGAAGACUUGUCUUACGAAACUCGAGGUAUAUUUUGUUAUGCCAUUUUAUGUCCUUUUUUUUAAAAAAAAAAAAAAAACUUUGUGGAAAGUGAUAUGUUGAAUCAAGUGUAAGCUGAGUUUUCCAGACAACUGAAGUAGCUACAUCGUGAAUGUUAUUUUGUUAUUAAAAGGUUUUUACUCAAUGCUUUGUGCCCGUGGACGUCCUUUCCUUGGAGACACAGAACUAUGGAAUUUCCUCAGCUUGGCCUGGAUUCUGCUCCUGCUCUCAUGGGGGAACGAGGCCAUGGCCUGGAAAAUUAAGGUCCUGGGCAAGAAGGUAGAUUUGGGCUCUAGGAAGAGAUCUCCUUGAGUGUCACUUUAAAGAGAGCUGGGCCAAGCUUGCUAACUUUAUACUCUCUCUUUCUCUCUCUCUCUCUCUCUCAAUGCCAGCACUUCUCUGAGAUCCCUUGUCCUUGAGCACAUGCCAGCAUGAAAGCAGACCCCAAUUCUUACAGGAAAGGCAAGGAAGAAAGAAUAGCAAUCCCCAAUCUUCAAUGGCUCACCAAGCACCCAUCUUUCCCCAGGUGGGGCUCUGCCAGCCAAGGAUGUGGGUGGCCCAUCUGGUUGGCUUCCCCACCUUAACUACUGCAAAGCAUACAGGUCCCACAGUCCAGUCGGGCUCUUUCCAACUAGAAUCCCCCUUACCACUCUUCCUCCGCGUCCUGGUUUAGUUAUGCCAUCCACUUUUGUCCACUUGCCGACAGUUAUGUGGAAAACAAAGAAAGGUAUGAAUGGGUUUUUCUGUCAUUUUGUUUCUAAUUCGUACUUCAGCUAGUCCCAGUUCUUUGAUCUGGAAAAAUACCAGAGAGAAAAGAACCCCUCACUGCCUCUUUGUGCCUUGCUGCUCUCUGAGGGGGCCAUGCACAUGCCCUGUGCUAUUGAUCUUUCUUAAGGGGCCGGCGGAACCACAGCAGUCAAACCAACCAGGACACGGCCCGCCAACACGUACUUUAUCUCUGCUUGGAAGUCCUAUUUAAGAAGCUGUACAGCUUGGAGUUUCCUCCAUCUUCCUUGCUUUGACUCAGUUUGGCAUUUAGUUUCAGAGUCAGUUUGCUCUCUAGGAAAGUUUUUUUCAGAUUACGACAGGGAGCCUGCUACCUAGGAAGAGAGGUGAAGUAUUCAAAGGCUAGCUAGCUAUUGGGUAGGGAGUCAUACCCGGAACAGAUACUUCCUUGAAGACAGAAUAUUAUUUCCUUUCUUGACUAUGCCACUUUGUGUCUAAAUGGUGCCGGCAGGCAAGCUUUUCACCACACAAGGUUGUAAGACGUCUGCCAAAUUGGAAUUCCUGAAAAAAGAAGACAACUUUCACAUUAACGAAAUGGUAAAGAACAUCUAAGUUUGGCAGGCAAGGACUGAGAUAAUGCAGGCAUAUUCUUGGUGCUGGGUUUUCUUCUAAUCUAGAUCGCCAACAUCCAGAUCUUAUUUUCCCCCCUUCAUCCUGGAGCAGUUCAGGCUUUUCUCUCCCAGUCUAGGAUGCCAAAUAAUUUUAUGGGCAACAAUAAUAGGGACUGACCAACGUUUCAAUUAGUUCUCUUGAGACUUCAUCCUUUGCUUUUCUCCAAGAAAGUGUUUUCCUGGACUGCUGAGAAAGAGCCUGGCCAAUUUUUUUCAUCUUUCCUAUUCGCAUAUUUCUACCCAAAUUAACAUUUUAUUAGUACAGGUACAAUAGAUUCUUUCUUGGUCAAUGAAUUCUUAUUAGAGAAGCUAUCCUUCCCCCAAAGUGACUGAGAACAAGUUCCAAUGUCUUUUAUUUCAUGGGCUUUUGUUCUCAGGAUUGAGUGAGUCCUGGCUGUUUUCUCACUUUAGGCCCUGAUCUCAAAUGUGUUUAUUUUGGGUACUAAAAACACGUCUUAGUAUCACAUGCUGGCCUGUGGAGCUUGAAUCCUUUCUUGCAAUCUGUUGGUUGCUUUGUGGUUUUAAAGGUGACUAAGAUGAGGGAAGGGAGGAAGAGGAAAAGAGAGAAGAAUUUGCCCCAGCUCUAUUUAAAGUUUUAAAAUGUAAAGAGACUUGUUAAGCCAUGGGAAAAUGGCUGUAGAGGGUUAACACUCCCCUCCCUCAUUCGGAGCCGUGUUCUGCCACACGACUCACAGGUCAGCUCUUCUAGAAAUCCAGCCUUGUUGUAGAAACCCAGCUACCUUUCAUAGACCUCUAUCCAGAUCCAAGAUGACAAGAAAUCAAAGAGUCAUGUGCACACCUCUUGUUCUGUUUUCCUGAUUUUUCAGAUAUUAUCUCCAAGAAAAUCACAGAAGAAAGCUUUACACUUUAUUGGUCAAUCCUUUUGACAUCGCUUCUCAGAUUUAAAAUCGGUAAAACAUACCCCUAAAACUUGCACUCCUUUUUAUUUUGAAAAAGAAAACACACACACUAGUUAAUCCACAUUCUUAUUUUCUUUACACCCUGAGCUAUAUUUCCAAAGCAUAUUCUAUCCCCGAUUUUGCCCCAUCUCAGACAUGUUAAGUCGGAAUGUGCUGCAAGAUUUUCCAGGGAUGGUCAACAGGGUAUAUGUUCAGUGGCUGCCCUGAAAUCCUGGUGGGGGUGAGGAUCACACACCAUUAUCGAGGGGCUGCUCACCCCUUGAUAAGCUCCCAAUCCUUUGAAAGAUUUCUUUGAAUGUUAACUGCAUUUUCAAUUUUGCUCAUUUCCCACUCUGAUGUUUUGUCCACGACAUUGCUUACACUGGAUUCUUUCUAUUUUUAUUCCUAUCAUUAAAUGGUAGUGCUGUAAAUUCUGCAAUUAAUGUCAAAUAAACUGCUUUCAUUCAUUGACCAUGGCUCAGUUGGCUUCUUUCUCUUUCCAUGGAAAGGAUUAAGCAUCCUUCCCCUAUUGCAUCCCAUCAUGGUUUCAUAAAGAACAGUAAAGUUGCUCUGCUUUAAAGAUUGCAACUUCUUUACCUCUGACAGGACGCAAGACACAUUUCAGAAUUAACAAAUCUGCCAACCGUGUUAUCAACCAUAAAGGUUUGGGGAUGCCCUGUAAAGACUGUCUUAUUCUUAACCCAUUAAAACAUUACAGAUGACCUAUCCUAACCUUGUCCUUAUACAGAUUGCAUUUGAGGUUGCAUGUGGUGAAUUAAAAAGGGGAUCCCUUUAUUGUCACCAUAUGGAAGAAUGAAAACAAACAAAUUUGGAGCCAGACACCUCAUAUGGAAUUUAGGCUCUGACAUAAAUUAUAUAGUUUUCAGGAAGUCACUUACACUCUCUGGGCUUCAAUUUCUCCAACAAGGUUAAGGUUAGGAUAGGUUAUAUCUGAAGCCCUUUACAUCUCUGUCAAGAGCUUUUGAAGAUAUUUAUAUUUUUGGCAUAGGUCAUAUCUUGGCAUAUUAUUUUUUAAAUUUAAUGAGUUACAGAGUUCUUUAAUCCAUUUUAAACUUAAAUAUCCCCAAGUGGCAAAGGAGUUCCACUGGACCUUUGGUCUAAAUGAAAAACCCACUUAUAACCCAGCCCAUGAAGCAGUUAGUGCCUUUAUCUAGGCUAGUGGUUUUCAAUUCUGGAUACAUUAGAAUGACCUAGAGAACUUUUAAAAUAUACUGAUACUGAGGUUCAUCCCAGACCAAUCAGAUUUGAUGGGGUGGACCCCAAAUACUUAUGUAUCAGUUAGCUUUUGUCAUAUAACAAACCGCUCUGAAACACAAUGACUUAAAAAAAAAACAAAAAAAAAACAACCACGUUCAUGGGACGCCUGGGUAGCUCAGCUGGUUAAGCGUCUGACUUUGGCUCAGGUCAUGAUCUGGCCAUUUGUGGGUCUGAGACCUGCAUCGGGUUUUGUGCUGACAGCUUGGAGCCUGAAGCCUGCUUCAGAUUCUGGCUCUCUCUGUCUCUCUGUCUCUCUGUCUCUCUCUCUCUCUGCCCCUCCCCCACUCAUGCUCUGUUUCUCUUUCUCUCUCAAGAAUAAACAUUUUAAAAAAUUAAAAAAAAAAAUGUUCAAACACACAUACACACUCAAAGAAGCCACCAUGUUGGCUGUCAAUUUGGACUGGUCUCAACUGGGUGUCUCUUCUUGUCUUGGCUGGCUCAUGUAUCUGCCCGUCAGCUCCCCAGGGGGACCGGCUCGGUCCCGCCCAGAUUCACAGGGAGAAGAGUGAAAAGAGACUCUAGAUCUUGAUGGGAAGAGGUGCACAAUCACAUUGCCAAAGGAGGAGUGAAAAACAUGCACUUUUUUUUUUUUGCAAUCUUCUAUAACCUAUACGUUUUAAAGUUCUCCUAGAGACUCUAAACGAAGGCCCAGCCAAAUUUGUAAAACACUACUGUAAAGCCUACUGGUUCUCCUUUUUUUUUAUUUUUUCACAACUCCAACCCUAAUCUGUGCCCACUCUUUCAAAUACCUUUACUGUAUAGCUUGGACUCAUUUUAUAAGAAAACUAUUUACAACUUCCAAACUUGUAGUGCAGGUUAUCACCUGUAGGCUGACUUUACAGGAUUGAAAAAAUCUGCCCAAACACAAUGAUUUAGAUGCUUGUUUUGUUGGUAAAUGAACUACCAGCCUCAGCUACUGGUAUCUGCCCACUAUUCCAUGUGCAGGGCUGGUGGGAGGCCCUGGGAAGGCAGGAGCUGUGCACGGAGCUCUUCCUGCUAGAAUACUCUGGAGGAAUUCUGGGCUACCUCAGGCACAUGCAGGGAAGAGCACUGGGCCAAGCACGACCUUGGGGCCAAUCAUGGAGAUCUUGAAAUAGCAUGGCCUUUGGUUCUAAGAUGGAAUCCUUCCUAUCUGCUAUCGGCAUCUUUCUUCCCCAAAUGGCAUGCCCUUAUUUAUUCAGGCUUCUGGACAAAGAAGACCAUCUUAGAGAACAAUAAACAUGUCUAAACUAGAUGAUCACCAAAACCUCUUCUACCUCUGCUAUCUUCUGCCUUGAAUAAUCCAUCACUGUUACUCAGAAAGUUAAACAGUGGCUAAAGCUGGAAAGUUUCAAGUCUCAGAGAUGUCUGGUCUCACUUUAGCCUCAUCAGGACAACAGAAACAAAAGAAAUUUGUAAUGUAGGUGGACCCUUUGAUUGACCCUUUGGAUUGGACUCAUUGGAGGGAAAUACUUUCUGUUUUGGGAAGCUUGUUGACAUGAGGCCAUCUGUCGAGACUUUGGUUGGAGUCAUUUGAUGGGAAAGGGUAUCCUUAAGUCAAAUACCCAAAAUUAUUUUUUUAAGUUUAUUUAUUUUUGAAAGAGACAGAGACAGUGCAAGCAAGGGAGGGGCAGAGAGAGAGGGAGAGAGAGAGAAUCCCAAGCAAGCUCCACACUGUCAGUGCCGAGCCCAAUACGGGGCUUGAACCCACGAAACUGUGAGAUCAUGACCUGAGCCAAAACCCCGAAUGAACCACCCAGGGGCCGCCAAAAUACCCAAAAGUAUUAGCCACAGUCCUUACAAAUCCCUUCUCUUACUUUUAUCUGUUCCCUGGACUCUUUAAUGGGGCGAUUUUUAAGAAGGGAAAGUACUUGUGAAAGGAAAAGAAAAAGCAGGAACAAAUUUCUGGAGACCUAUCAAGCAGGAGGAAACACUGGUCAGUCCACAACUGUUCAUGGAGAAUAAUUAUUUCUGGAAGUAAAAAUAAUGGUGGCAGCCAACCCUGGAAGCACUCACUAUGCCGUCACCUCCAUAACCCUCCUUCCUUGCAGUACAUGGCAACCUUGUGCAGUAGGCUGGGGCAGGGACCGUCAUGCUACAUGAGGCUACAUGGGUAGAACCAGAGUAAGUGGUAACACCAGCAUUCGGACCCAGACGUCAGAACUGACCCCCUUGGACCUAGUCAUUCAGUGUCGUAUGUACCACAGGGACCGGAGAUUCGCGUGGCACGCUUUCUCUGGUUGCAGCGAUAAAACAUACACCGUGAAAUCACUAUGUCUAUGGAGUCAUCUCUGCUAGAUGCCAAAUAAAUGGCACAAACAAUCAAAAACUGCCCAGAAUUCAGAAGAAAUGGGGAUCACCCCAAACUGGGCCGCUCAAAAAAAGGCCUCUCUCGCCUCAUGUAGGUUUCUAAGUACUACAUUUUCUUAACACAUUCAGCUGAGCACCACUCAAGCGUGGCCAAGUAAUCUGGAUUUGGAGGAAGAGAUAACAUCCCUCUCCCCACAUAACCAACCUCAAAUGCACAGUAUGUUCUUCACAUGAUUAAUAUUUAGAUGUCUGCAUCAUGUUUCCAUUUUUACUUGAGCUCUCGCAUGGGAGGGAAACCAGGGUUUUGAGUCAGAAGAUCUGAACUUAGGCGCCAGGUCCACCUCUUGCUAACAUAGGCAAGUCACUUAAAUUCUCUGAUCUUCAAUUUUCCUAUCUACUGGGCAUAAGAAUAUGACAAUAUGCUACUGUCCUGCCUAGUUGGCAAAGUUAUUGCAAACAUCAGGCAGCGUGAUAGGUAUGGAUGUGAGCUACUGAAGAUAGCUAUCAUUUCAUAAAAAUAGAAGUCUGAGGCUCAGAGAGGUUAGGUAACUUGCCCUGGACAACACUAGUGGAGCUAGGAUAUUUGAGCCCAGGACUAUCCGUUUCAAAGCCCACCUGAAAAUGCCUAUUUAAACGUAGAUUCCCCAAGGAAAGGAGAGCCAUGUUGUGGCAUCUGUACAAGUGCAUACCUGUAAAUACCAUGUCAUAAGAUGUUACUUAACAAUUAGCCCCGACAAUAGAGGUGUAACUGGUAGAAGAAUACAUUCGCUUGUUUUUUUUUUUUUAAGUUUUUUUUUGAGAAAGACAGAGAUGGUGCAAGUGGGGGAGGGCAGAGAGAGAGGGAGACAGAGAAUCCCAAGCAAGCUCCGCCCUGCUGGCUCAGAGCCCAACACGGGGCUUGAACUCACAAAAUCCUGACCCGAGCCGAAACCACGAGUUGGACACUUGACUGAGCCCCUAAACUCACUUGUUCUGCCCUGCAAGAACUAUUCAUAAAAAUUGUCAUGAAUUGACUAAGCCAAUUUGGUCCUAUACAAAAUUUGGGUUCUUUGUGGUUGCUAAUCAUAGCCACCCAAAGUCUCUGAGAUGGGCAAAAGUUAUCUACAUCCCCCAAACUCCCUGUCAGAUUGUAAAGAAAGUGAGUCUAAGACCAAAUACUGCCACAUAGGAGAAUUUAACCAAUUCUAUUGAGCAAAUUAGUCACUACGCUACGUAUAUUACCUGCUGUAUAACCUCAAUGAAGUCUGAGUUCUCUGUCCUACAGGGACCUCUAUCCAUAUUCUAGACAGACCCAGCAACAUUCCAGAGGCAGGCUUUCAUUAGCCCUUGGGCAGCAUCAGACAAAAAGCAACUUCCUCAACCAAGGAUGGAACACAGGUCUUCUAGGGAUCAGACCUCCUGCAUAUUCCCCAACAGUGCACGCUGAAGGUGCCACUGGACUCUUACACCCUAUGCACGCAAAGGAGGGUGGGAGGGGCUCUCCAACCCAAUUACCUUCAAUACCUUUAAUCUCUCACACCAGGGUCCAUUUGUCACACUUCUCAUGAUAAUCAAUGGUCUACUAUUUUCACCAUUAAAACGCCACCUCUGCAUUCAUUAUGCUAAUGAGCAGAACGGGUGCUGACUGAGAUGGUGGCUGAAGAGUACUGGUGUGAGUGGUGGCUGUCCUGCCCUUCAGAAACGCUGGUCACUCACCAUCCAAGGCUGCGCACCCUUGACGAGGACGAUUUACUGCCCCCAGACUGAAGCGUGAACAAGCUGACACACAUUACUGAACUAUCCGUGCUAAUGUCUCUUAAAAUGAGUCACAGUCAUUACAACCAAAGUCCAUGUUUUUUUUUUAAUUUUUAAUGUUUUUAUUUAUUUUUGAGACAGAGAGAGACAGAGCGUGAGUGGGGGAGGGGCAGAGAGAGAGGGAGACACAGAAUCCCAAGCAGGCUCCAGGCUCCGAGCUGUCCACACAGAGCCCGACGCGGGGCUCGAACCCACGAACCGUGAGAUCAUGACCUGAGCUGAAGUUGGACGCUUAACCAACUGAGCCACCCAGGCGCCCCCCAAAGUCCAGGUUUUAUCCACAUCCUAUGUUAGAAAAGACUGGAGAGCAUACGUUAAUUUCAAUAUAAGUUACAAUCCUUUAUAUCGCAUUUAUUCAUCUCAUUUUCCUCCACAACCUGGAGCACGCAUAUUAUUAUCCCCAUUGAAUAAUUAGGUGCCAAGAGUUUAAAUCACCUUCUUCACACUCAUCUAAUCACAGUUGAGGUGGACGAAUAUUUACUAUGUGCUGGACAUUGUGCUGAACACUUUACAUGGUUUGUCUUUUGUUCUCCCAACUACUUAUGAGGCAAGUACUGUAAUUAUCUCCUACAUCACAGAUGAAGGAACUGGUGCAUAGAGAUGAAGUAACUUGCUACAGGUCACCGCGAAGCAGCCUGACUCCAGGGCUAAGCUCUUAUCCCUGUAGUUUCCUUCAGUUUCGAGCAGAACUUAGAUUAGUACUGACAGCUGGGGACUCCUACUCCCGCGUUCUUUCCACAGGAAAUCCUGAUUGCUAAGAAGCAGACGUCUGUAGAAGUGAAGGUAGUUCAAACGCCCUUCCAACAUCUCUACAAAAUGUGUUCGCAGCUUGAUGUUAUAGUUGAUGGCCAUUCAGAAGCUGUUCCCAUUUCUGCUCCCAUUUCUGUGUCUUCACUUCACCCUUGGGGAACUCCAUCCAGGACAUGUGUCUAGAACUCUGGGGAGCUGACGCCGAUGAUGUGGGACUUCCCAACCACCGACAAGCAGACAGAGCGGGAAUAAGAGUUCACUCUCGGCUGUGGGUACACGGAGAACCCACGAGAGCGAAUUUUUAAAGGAUACUAAUAGAGCUGCAAAACUGAAACCACAAAGAAAGCAGCUGGCGUUGGGAUGAAGCAGUGGCUACAAAUACAUCUCCUACCAGAACUAUUUUGGAAUCACCUCGUCUGAGCUUUCAAUGGUCCUCACCGUUACCAUCAUUGAUAUUGUCACCACUACCUUCACCUGUACCACUCUGGCUCGAUUUUCAGACCAGUAAAAAAUCCUCCCGUCUUCUCCCGAAUUCGGAACGGAUUGAGAAAGAGACAUAGAAAUUAAAGUCUUUUUUAAAAAUCCAUUUCAUUGGUAGAUAUGGAUUGGAGAACAUGCAUUGGAUUUGUGACCAAAGGGGUUUCCUAAUGUAAUCCUCCUGAACUGAACUUACCCCCCCAAACUGCCGGCCAACCUUUCCCUCUUUUCAGUCCCGCUUUCCUCACUCCUCAUGGGGGUUGCUCCCCAAAGCACCUCCCGGUAAACCUGCAUGUGGAUCUUGGGUCUCUGGGUCUACCUCCCAGAGAACCUAAUCGAACACACCUGCUUAUAUGCCUUCCUUCACUCCACUCUCCCCUCCCCUCCCCUAAAUAAAACACACAAACUUGGCGAGGAGGAAGGAAAGGGGAGGAAAUCUAAGAGACUCAACUAUUUCCUAAAGCAGACUGUUUAAACAAGAGACUGAGAUAUUAUGAAAUGGUAAAACUAAGUUCCUAACAUGUUCCCCAAAACAACUGGAAAGGGCUCCUGAAGAUUAGAAAUAGAAAAUUAAGAGGCUCUAUCCUUUUUAAACAUGUAAGAUGUAAGCUGAACUAAAACUGAAGGGGGAUCCAAAUUGGACAAAGGCUGAAGGUUCUGGGUGCUUGAGGCCACCUAGCAGCGUGGGAGGCAUUGCUGUGGGCCAGGACAUCUCCCAAGAGAAGGACACAGCUGUCCUCAGCCUGUGUGCGGAUGUUGGGGAUGGAAACAGCGUAUGAACUGCUGACGGUGGAGAGAAAGUUGGGAAAUCGUUGCUGUUCUUGAGCAUAUCUUACAAAACUAGUAUCUUUCCAAUAAUUUUCUAAGGCAAUACGUUAACACGAUGGUUAUGACCGCAAUGAACAGAUGUUAAAAGUAGCGUGAAAGCAAAUCAUGAAACAAGAGACAACAUCAGCAAAGGAAGUAGCCCCCUUUUCACAUGCUCACACUCCCAAUGAUAAUGGCUCAGGCCACCCCAUCCUGCUUAGCCUUGCUCCCUCCUCACCCGGCUGUUGGAAUAUGACCGGUCCCCUGGGAGUGGAGAUUUGGGGUGUGAAUUAGUAUUCUACUGCUGCAUAACUAAUUAGGGCAAACUUAGCAGCUUAAAACAACACUUAUUAUCUUCCGGAGGCCAGCAGUCCAAAGGUAUAGGCAGGGCCAUGUUCCCUUGGAUGGUGCCAGGAAAGGACCUGUUCCAGGCUGCUCUCUUAGCUUCUGGCGGUUUGGGGCAAUCUUUUCAUUUCUUGGUUUUUAGACACACAUGGCUGUAAUAUCUACUUUCACAUGUUCCCAGGAUGUUAUCUCUGUGUGUAUGGGUCCAAAAACCCCCUUUUCUUAUAAGGACACCAGUCAUAUUGCAUUAGGGGCCUGCCUACCUUAUUCUUGUAUGAACUGAUCUUAACUAAUUGCAUCUGCAAUGACUCUAUUUCCCAAUAAGGUCACAUGUGGGGUACCAGUAUUUAGGGCUUCAACAUAUGACUUUUUGGAGGAUACAAUUCAACCCCUAACACUCAGUAUGAGUCAUUUGACAGCUGAACUUUGAUCAAGACCUCUUGGUUCCAUGGUUAAUUAAUUAGUCAUUUAUACUUUUUCUGCUUCAGUUUAGAUAUUGUAAUUUGCUCUUAACAUUUUGCAGAAAGAGAAGAAAGGAGAAAGAUAAGAGGAGAAACAGGAAGCGAGGAAGGAGAAGGAGGAAGGGAAAAAGAGAAGCGAGUGAGGAGAGGGAUAGGGUGUCACUUGCUGUAAUACUGUAGGGCCUGGAUCCCAUAUGGAUUAAAUUGUAUGACAUUAUAUGUUUGUCAAGAGCUAAAUUUCACAAGAUCUAAAAUACUCUGCCCGUGGGUUUUAUGGCAAAUGAAGGCUGAACAGGCCUCUUUCCCCCCCAACCUGCCCCAUCUACAAUUAGAGACAUUGCUUUCCUUGAAAAAUCGCCCAAGGUAAAAUAUCGGUGUUCUCUACGAUCCGCUGUGAGGUCAAAUCCAGAGCCAUGGGCAGCUUCCAAAACCAUUUUCUGCCCACACUUACUCAUGGCUGGCCACCACCCCUCCGCUGCCUCUCUCCUAGCCGGACCUCGGCCUGCUCAGCAUCCUACAGCGAGAGGAAGGUCAAGAGUGUAGGUCUUGUGGCACUUCUGCUCCACGGGGUGAGAGUGGCCCGCAUCCACCGACAGGGCAGAGCAGAGCAGAGCAGAAGACAAGAGGCCCCGGGUCCUUGUCCUCCAUGAGCUGAGGAAAGGCAUGUCCUCCAUGACCCACUGUACCAGAGGCACCGCCGCUCUCCCCUCAGAGAAGUAGCUGUAUCUUCCAGAACAAAUCUAGUCACGUAGAACUCAGGAUUAAGUCAAGCUGAGGGUCUACGAAGCAAAGAACACGUCUGUCCCUCCUGCAUGCACAGUGGAGUGGACAGAUGCCUCUGUGGUGCGUGACCGGGAAGUGCUAACCACUCUGAUGCCAAUGCCUGAAACCCCACCGUGCCCAAGGUCCUCUUUUGCGUUAACUAUUGCCCUCUUUGCAUCCUCAAUUUGAGUUUAUUCACUUUUCCCAUAAAGCCCAUGUCCUGCAUAUAUUCUUUCAUUCAUUUAUCUUUGCUCGCUGUGCCAGUGGUUCUCAGCCUGGGUGGUUUUCCCCACCAGGAGGCAUUUGGCAACGUCCAGGAACGUUGUCGGGUCUCGCUACUGGCAUCCAGCGGGGAGGCCAGGGAUGCGGCGAAACAUCCUACGAGUUACCAGGCAGCCCUGCACAGCAAAGAAUCCUCCAGUCUGAAAUGUCAGCAGUGUCAAGAGGGACACACUCCAGUCUGUUCCCAUAGCAACACUAUGUGGGUUUUUUGUUUUUUGAUUUUUUUUGUUGUUGUUGUUGGUAGUUGUUCAUAUAAAAUGUGUACUGUUGGGCGCCUGGGUGGCUCAGUCAUUAAGCAUCUGACUUUGGCUCAGGUCAUGAUCUCAUAGUUCAUGAGUUCGAGUCCCACACUGGGUGAGCCUGAGCGCCACUUCUGGUGAGCACAAGGCCCACUUGUGCUGGGUGAGCCCUGGGUGAGCCCCACUUCUCUCCCUCUCCCACUCGCUCCUUGUGGGAUUCUCUCCCUUUCUCUCUCUCUCUCUCUGUCUCAAAAAAUGUGUAUUUUGGGGGCAUGCAUUUUCAAUUUAUGUAAAUGAUACUGCAUUAGAGCUCUUGUUCUGUUUCUUAUAGUUUUCAUUCAUCACCCAAUUUUUAAGAUCAUUUAUGUUGCUGUGUAUACUCCGAUCCACUGGCUUUGUUACAUGGUAACCCGCAGAGGGCAUCACCACAUUUUACCCAUCCACCGCCCCCCCCCCCAGAUUGAUUCCCACUCCCAGCCACCAUAAACACUACUUCAGGGAGUAUCCUUGGGAAUGGCCGCAUACUGCCCAUGUGAGAAUGUCUGUGGGGUCAAUACCAGGAGUGGAAUUGCCGGGCAUAAGGUAGGUGUAUACAGUUCAUUAGACUGAGUAUGACAGACUACUCUCCAGAAGGGCUACCCCCGUCUACACUCACAUCAGCAGCAUGUGGGUCUUCUCAGAGCCCUUCAUUUGAAAGGUAUUCUCUUUGAAAACACACCCAUGUUAAGAUUAGCAUAUUAAAUCACCAUCACAUUCAGGAUGAACUCAUUUCAGCAGGCCAUCUUCCUUACAGGAGGUAACUUCACUGGCCUGAGUGCCAUGAAUGAAAUGGCUCAAAGCAAAAAGAGGAGAUGGUGGGGGGGAACCCAAAGAUAGACUUCUACCCAGGAGAAUUUCCUUCACUUAUAAUGGGCUACCAUCCAUUUGGGUGGGCCGUUGGGUGUCACUUUCUAUUAAAUUUGUUUUCUUAACUUCUAAGAUAAUUUUAACUUGAAGGAUGUUUCCUUUUUCCAAAAACAGCUUCAAGCAUAAAUCAAGAGGAACCACCUAGAGAAACAGAAGCGUGUUGGAGACCAGACUCUUCUGAGAGGUGCUUGUGCUCCUUUGUGAUAUUACUCAUGCUUAAGUCAUUCGGUUUGCUCAUGGGACAUGGAGAUCAAUAAAGC